GUUGUAACACUUGUUGCUCGGUCUAAAGAUGUAGAUGGACAGGUGAGCAGAAAAGUAUCAUUGCAGCGAUAUCUUGAAAAGCGAAAAGACAGGUAUCUAUACCAGCUAAGAUAUCGUUUGCUGAAUUUACUUGUAAUCUCAAUUUACAAACCAGCAGAGCUAUAUCAUUUUGCACAAUUUGGUAUCUGAAUAAAAAGAAAAAAAAUUACAAUUAAGUAUCCAAAAUUUACUUCCGUCACUUGCUAGUCUAUGACUAUAAAUGUUUUAAAGACAUGCUAGUUUUUUGAACAGUAUAAAAAUGCGAGACAUGGUAAUUUUAUUCGUUCAGCAUUUUUAAAAUAUUUUAUUUUAAAAAUGAUUUUUUUAUCUUAGUUUCACUCUUUUGAAUUAGAAAACAUAACAAAUUUAAUUUCUAUUUUGGAUUAAACUAUUUUAAUUCUUUGAAUUUUUGAAAAGAAAAUUAAAAGAGGAGAAUCAGGAAAAAAGGAGAGAGAGAGAGAGAGAAGGGGAGAGAAGGGGAAAGGGUGCUGGCCAGCCCAAGGUAUUCUUGCCCUCUAUCUUCCUCAUUUUUCUCUUCCGCUUUUCUUCCCCAGCCUGCCGCCAAUCUUGUUAUCUCGAAGCAGACCCAUGGCAGAUUGGUCCUUUCUCUCUUUUUUUCCCUAGAAUUUUUAUUGAUUUUAUAAUUCUAAGUUUUUAGCUUAUUAUUUUGAAAUUUGAAAAAUAGUUUGUUGACCUUGAAAUGCUGAUAUGGCAUUGAUUUUGGCAGACGACCUUCUAUUAUUAGACCUACGUUGGCAUUAUGUAAUGAUGUUAGCCACUUGAGUAACUUGACAGAGAUACACAUUUGGGUACUUAACUGAGAAUUUUUUUUCUUUAGGUCCCAAAUCACGAAAGGGGUAUACUUCAACCACCUAUUAAUGUAUUAACCCUUAGAAUAUAUUUCUGGAUUACAUGUAUUAACCCUUAGAAUAUAUUUUUGGAUUAUUCUUCUGUUAGGGGAAGAUUCUUUAAAGGCAGGAAAAAUGCAGGACAAACUUUGUCUAGCUCGGAGAUGUACCUGAACCAUCAGAUAAGAGCUAACUACUUAAAUGGACAAACAAAUCGGAGCAGAACAAGUUCUCCACCACAGUCUGGAAUGCCACAUGCAUUUUAUAGCUCAGCUGACAACCAAGAGCUUGUGAAUUUUUCUGUAGAUCUCAAUGAUGAAGGUAAGUUUUGAAGUAAUCUUUACAUUUUUGUAUGAUGUAAAGAUGCUACGUAGUUUGCAGUCACACCUAGUACUGCACUAUACUUGAUGUUUAAUCAUAUAAUCGUGUAAAUGUCUGGUUCUUGUAAAAAUUGUGGCUGAAGGAUGCCCAUAUUAACACACGCACACGCACACGCACACAGACAUAUAUGAUAUUGUAUAGUUGCUGUGGGGCAGUUUUGAUGAUCUUUUUUCAAACAAAAACAAAAAAGGUUUUGACUCUCUGUCUGGGCAAAUAGAUGAGCCACGUUUCUGAAGAAUAAUCCAAUAAUUUUGCAAGUGUUAAAAUUCUGUUAGAUUUUAAGUUACAACCGGCUAUACCAUAGUUUAUUUUGGGGUUCUAUUUGGGGUAUGUCUCUAACAUAUUUCUUUGAUUUGGAUAAUGUUUAUAUCUUCUAAUUGCUCAUUAAUUAUUCACAUAGUUACUCUCCAGUUAGCCUUUAGAGUAUGGGCGGAAGAAUCUUACUGUGGUAUGAUUUCCAUGCAGGUGGUCAAGAACAUUGAAAUUCAGUCUUUUAUGCAUCAAAAGUACAUUCAUUGGGAUUUGAGUGAAGAGAUGCGUUCUUUAGGUGCAUUACCCACAGCGGACGUAGGAGAGGAAUAAGUAACUGGAGAGGGCCUUUGACAUGCCUGCAUAUGUAUAUAAAUAUAUAAAUAAUAUUUAUAUAUCAUGAUUUGGCUUGUAUGGGUCGAGUUCCUUACUCGGACAGACUCUUGUUUUGAGUGGUAUGAUGAAGUUGCACAAUUUUCUGAUCAAAUUUUGCAAAGCUGAGCGACCGUGUUCGGGAAUUUCUUGUUUCUGAUAUUAGGAUCUCUACGUCUUUGCUUUGAGGUAUAGGGAGCCAAAUGUAGCGGCAAGCAAUGCUUUCCUUUGCUUUAACCUUGAUAUGUAAAUUUUGUACUAAUUAUAGCUUAUUGGGGCGGGUGAACUAGCUCUUUUCCUAUCAAGGGGUUUAUAUGUAUCGUGUUUAUUACCUUCAAUUCACUUCUACUUGGCUAUGCCCAAAUGAUUCCUUGUAAAAACUUUUUUUUUUGAACUUCCCAAUUCAUUUUCUUUUUUAAACAAUAGCAUAAAUAUAAAUAAAAUAAAAACUAUUAAAUGUCUCAAAGUCUCAAACACUAAUACUACGGUAGUGUUAAUUAAUAACUAUAUAUGAAGGUUGAGCACAUGCGAUAUUUUGUGUUAUUCUUUUUGAGGGAUCUUGUGUUAAUUUUUGAAAGCUAUGUAUGAAGGUUGAUUCUUGAAUACUCAUACAGUAUGUUGUGUUAAUCUAUAGCUACUUAAGAUUUUGUUUUUCUGAAAGCUAUAUAUGAAGGUUGAAUCUUGAAUCCUGGGGAUUCGAUCGUUUAAUUGUUAAAUAUUUAUGUAUUUCCGUCUUACUUUGUUCAGUAGUGAAGGAGAAAAUGACUUCACGCUAAUGGCUUCAUGAAAAGUUGGCAUUAGGUAUGUAAGAAAUUAAUAGGGUAUAUUAGUUGCUCAACGUGUUAUUUGUCUACGUGUUAUUUGUCUAUUUGUCUGAGCUCUUUUUCUCGGGGUAUUGUGAUUAUGUUUGAUUUUAUAUGAAAACAUUGAUGGUGUGAUUGUUUCAUGAAAAAUGUUUAUUCAAUUUAAUAAUUUCAUGUUAUUCUCAUUUUGAAGAGCUUACUCCAACGAUUUUUAAUCACAUUUUCUUAUUGUACAAAUGACACUUUAAUGUCAAAAUUUUCUUCAUAUACUUUGUUAGAAUUAAAUGACCCGAAUCCUUAUUUAAAUAAAAUACAGUGAUAACAUAAAAUACAAGUAAAAUCCAUAUAGAACUACACUUCUUUUAUUUUAUUUUAGAAUUAAACCUUAUUAAACUCUAUCUAUUUUAUUUUGAUUAGAAUAAGGUGUUUCAAUCUUACUAGAAUAUGGCUUUACAAGCCUAUAAAUAGACAUAGUCUAUUCCUCUUGUAAUUAUUCGAAUUCUACAUAGUGAAUUUUCUUCUCCUCUGCCCGUGGUUUUUUUUCCCGAAAGGGUUUCCACGUAAAAUCUGUGUUAUUUUAUUUUAUUUUAUUUUCACAAAUUGGUAUCAGAGCUUCUGGGUAAUUCAUCUCGAUCACGGUAAUAGCGUAUUUGAAGUAUGAAAUUUCGCUGUUGGAUCGCAACACCAGAUUUGCGUUCUGGCAGAUUAAGAUGCAAGCAGUUCUUGUGCAGAUGGAUCUGGAGGAUACCCUGCUAGGGAUAGAUAAGAUGCCUUCGACAUUAACAGAUGAAGAGAAUAAGCGUAAGGAUCGAAAGGCAUUAACACAAUUACAUCUGCAUUUGUCCAACGAAAUUUUGCAGGAUGUGAUGAAGGAGAAUACCACCGCUGCAUUAUGGAAGAGGCUGGAACAAAUAUGUAUGCCAAAAACUCUAACAAGCAAGUUGCAUAUGAAGCAGCGUCUUUAUGCUCAUCGUUUGGAGGAAGGUGCAUCUGUACACGAACACUUAACAGUGUUUAAAGAAAUUCUCUUAAAUUUGGAGGCCAUGGAGGUUUAGUAUGAUAAGGAAGAUCUAGGGUUGAUUCUACUUUGUUCGUUGCCCCCAUCUUAUUCAACCUUUAGAGACACGAUUUUAUAUAGCCGCGAGUCUCUCACAGUUAAUGAGAUUUAUGAUUCUUUGACCUCGUAUGAUAAGAUGAAGCAUCUUAUGGUUAAACACGACUCUUAAGGAGAGGGUCUCAUUGUUUGUGGGAGACAAGAUCGGAAUGCUGAUGAUGAUUGUGGAAGGACAUAGGAACAGAAUCCUCGCGAUAAAUCUAAGGGUAGAUCGAAGUCUUCAAACAGAGGUAAAACUUGUAACUUCUGCAAGAAGAAAGGGCACAUUAAAUCUGAGAGCUAUAAGCUAUAGAACAAGAUUAAAAGAGAGGAUGCGAAUCAAAAGUGAAAACAACCAAAAAAUUUUGAUGAAGCUGAUUUUGUAGAAGACUACAGCGAUGGUGAUCUUCUAGUCGCUUCUGUCAACAAUUCUAAAGUGAGCGAGGAGUGGAUACUUGAUUCAGGCUACACCUUCCACAUGAGUCCAAAUCAGGAUUGGUUUACAACUUACGAAACAGUGUCUGAAGGUGUUGUUUUGAUAGGAAAUAAUGCUUCAUGUAAAAUCGUAGGUGUUGGACCAAUUAAAGUUAAGAUGUUUGAUAGAGUUGUCAGAGCACUUAGUGACGUAUGACAUGUUCCAGAAUUGAAGAGAAAUUUAAUUUCGUUGAGUACUCUUGAUUCAAAAGGGUACAGAUACACAACUAAAAAUGGAGUUUUAAAGAUUUCCAAAGGUUUCCUUAUUGUGAUGAAAGGACAGAGAAAGACUACCAAGUUAUAUAUUUUGCAGUGUUCUACUGUUACUGGUGAUGCAGCUAUCGCUUCCUCUUCCUUGUUAGAUGCUGAUAUUACUAAACUUUGGCAUAUGUGCCUCAGGCAUAUGAGUGAGAAUGGCAUGGUAAAAUUGAGCAAAAGAGGACUUUUUGAUAGGUAAGGAAUUUGCAAACUGAAGUUCUUUGAGCACUGUGUUUUUGGGAAGCAAAAGAGAGUUCGAUUCACCAGACGAAUCCAUAACAUGAAGGGAAUGUUAGAGUAUAUUCAUUCUGAUCUGUGGGGGCCAUCUAGAGUGCCUUCAAGAGGUGGAACUAAAUAUAUGCUAACUUUUAUUGAUGAUUUUUCUACACAAGUUUAGGCGUUCUUCCUUAAGAAAAAAAGUGAUGUGCUUUCUGCAUUUAAGUCUUGGAAAAUUAUGAUUGAAAAACAAAUGGGAAAACAAAUAAAAUACCUCUGUACAGAUAAUGGUUGUAACAUCCAAAAAUAGGGCCUAAAUAGAAUAGUGGUUGUGAAACCACGAAUUCGAGAUAGAAAAGUUUAUUCUGAUUAAUUUAUAUAAUUUACCUAGUGAUUAGAUGCAUGUGUUAGAGUAUCGAUGAAAAAAUUUAUAGAUAGCAUGCUUAAUUUACCUACUAGAGCUUAAUUGCAAAAGUUGAUAACUAUGAGUUUUAGAUGCUAAAGGAUUAAAUUGAAGAGUAUAAUUGAAGUAGAGGUCCCUAAAUGGUAAUUAGACCAUUAGGUUUUCAUGGAAAAAAAUGGACAUACAUAGAUAAAAAUAACUAAAGUUUUAAUGAAGGGUAUUUUAGUCAUUUGGUAAUUAAAAGAUUAAAAAAGGGAAAAAGAUGGCAAAUUGUGCCCAUCUUCUUCAUUAGGCUGAAAUUUCAAGGGUUUUUCAUAGCUAGGGUUUUUUCAAGCUUCCAAGCUUCAUAGUAAGUGAUUCCAAGCCCUGUUUUUAAUGUUUUUUACGUUUUUGAAGUCCCGGUAACUUAAUUUAGCUUAUUCUAGCAAUAAUUUAACCUAGGGUUCAUAUUUGGAAAAAUACCCAUAGGUGAAAUGUGUUUAUUUUGAUGUUUUAUGGUAGAAUAUGAAGCUUGAAAUUAUGUUAAACGACUUGAGCUAAGCGAUUUUAAGCGAAAACGAGUAAAACGACAUAAUCGGUAAAAAUACCUAAUGGUCAUAAGUACAUGUUAGAGUGGGAAUUUGAUGUUUUUGUAGGUAAAUAAAUGAUCAGCAUGUCAUAAAACAUAAGAAUUAGGGAUAAAGUUUCAUUUCCGAGCCUUAGGGAAAAAGUGUAAAUAUGCAAAAUUUUAGGGGUAAAAUUGUAAUUUUUCCAAAGUUAGAGUUAAGGACUGUUUUGAUAAAUGUGAAUAUUAAAUAAUUUAGAUCAAGAAGAAUGAAAUUCGAGGUUAGACAGAGGAAGGAAAAAUGUUGAGGACUAAAUCAAAAUAUUUGAUCGUAUUUUGUAUCGAGGUAAGUUUGCGAUAAAUAAAUGCAGUGUUUUAUUAUUUAUAAUUAUUGAUGUUAUUUUUCAACAUUUAUAUAUCUAUUUUUUAAAUUUAUUCCAUGAUGAUUCAAGUAAGAAUUGACAGAGAAAUGAUACUUAAAAGUUUCGGUUGAAGCUUAGGAAUGUGUAGGAUACAAAUGUUAUGACAUUAGGGUUUAAGGAUACAAAGUAAGACCAUGCCAAUGCAUGGCAUUGGUAAGUUUUACAAGGCAAGGAAAUCAUGUAAGACCAUGUCACGACAUGGCAUUGAUAAACUAUUAUAAGGCAAACAUCCCAUGUAAGACCAUGCCAAGGCAUGACAAUGGUGAGUUCAUAAGGCAAGGAUACCACGUAAGACCAUGUCAAGACAUGGCAAUGGUAAGUUUAAAAAGGAAAGGUACCCGUGUAUCCUUAGUAUUUCAAAUGGUUCAAAGAAAGAUUUAAAGAGUGUACCAAAGGGACGGUAAGAUAAGUCCAUGUUUGAAAGGUUCAGGUUAUCUUGAUAAUUCAUUUAGAAUGUUGUUAUUUAUUUACAUGCAAACUUACUAAGCUUUAUGCUUACUCCCUUUCUUUUCUAUCCUUUUUAUAGUAUCGCAAAGCCAACUUGGAAAAUCUUAAGGACGUUGGAGAUCGCCUCACACUAUCAACGAGCUAUCUCGGUAUUUUGUGACUAGAAAUACUUUAAGUUAUGGCAUGUAUAGGGACUUGGCUAUUCUGUGUGUAUGUCCUUAUGAUAUGAUUAAAGAAUGGCAUGUGAAUACUUGGUAAUGAUUAGCUUAUGAUAUAGCUAAAUAAGAACAUGUUUUGGUAUUAUGUAUGCCUAAAUGAGGUUUGAUGCAAAGAAAUUAUGAAGGAGUAAGAGUUGGCCAUGGAACAGUUAGGAAACAACAAUAGCGAUGUGGAUUUGAAAAAUCACUAAAAAAUGUAGAAAUGGAAUUAAAUGGGGAAUGAGAUAUGGAAUUAAAUAUUAUUGAGUCUAUUUUCUUAAAAAAGAAAAAGAGCAAGCAAAGGAAGUCUAUAUUAUGAGAUAUUUAAAUUUUUAUAAGACUGGUUCAGAGUGACUUUGUGAUCCCCUAUUCCAACUUUAUAAAAUCACUAGAAAUUGUACAAAAAGAAUUAUAAGUCAUAGUUUAUAUUUCUAGAUUACUUAGUGAGUCUAUUUGCAUUAUAAAUAAACAGAAACAUUAUAUAAAUUUUUUAUAAUGAGAUAAUUAAUUUUUAGUGAAGAGAGGUCAGGUCUGCUGAACUGCAAAAUAGGGGAACCUUUAAUAAAUAAAAUGUACAAAUUGGCCAAACUAAAAAUUCUGGAAAAAUUAUGGUAAGAGGAUAUAUGAGUCUGGUUUCAGGGAAAGUUUACGGAUUUAAAUAUUGUGUUUUUUAACUUGAAUUAUAAUUAAUUUAGUGACUAUUACGCAGAUAGAUAGCUUUAUUAUAAAUAGUGAAAGAAAUUGUUUUGAUUUAUGUAAGUAAUUGGAAAAUUUUUUAAUGUUCCAGGUUUGGUCCCGAACCGUACCAAUUGCAUGUUUUAGGGUCUCGAAGGCCCUUUUUAGGGAUUUAUUGGAUGAAUGCGAGCGAAUAAAUUUUUAAAAAAAUUUAUGCCCUGAACAAGUAAGAUAAGUCUGGUAACGCCUCAUGCUCGACUCCGGUGACGGUCUCGGGUAUAGGGUGUUACAUUUAUUGGUAUCAGAGCAAGAGUUUAGUCGGUUCUUGGAAUAUUCAAUACGAGUAAGAGUCUAGCUAUACAUGCCAUACUUAUAUUUUGAUAGUGUGACGACUCCCGACCAUUUUAAAAUUUUUUUCUUUUAUAGUUAUGGAUCCCGAACGAGUUGGUGCAAAUGAUGUAGAAAGUAACGCGCCCGCUCCCACAAAAGGGACAGUGCCACCAGAUAGUAGUGAAAGGUCCGUUAUAGCUAGUCAGAGAGGAGGGGCUCGAGAAGCCUUCUUCCAAGCUAUGAAUGAAUGGUUUGUUGAGUUCGUUCGUACGAAUCUGGCCGUUAGAACUCCACCCCCUCAUGACCCUCAGACUACCCAUGUAGCUUACCCAGUCACAGAUACAGUUAGAAGAGAGAAGCCACUAGUUGAUAAAAGUAGGAAACAAGGGGCCAAAGAGUUUCGGGCUACUAAAGAUGACGAUACAGAGAAAACUGAAUUUUGGCUCGAGAAUACUAUCAGGGUCUUUGAUGAGUUAUCCUGCACACUUGAAGAGUGCAUGAAGUGUGUUGUAUCACUUUUAAGAGACUCGACCUACCAUUGGUGGAAGAUACUUGUGUCAGUAGUACCAAAAGAGAGGGUUACUUGGGAUUUCUUUCAGGAGGAGUUCCGUAAGAAAUACAUUAGUCAGAGGUUCAUCGACCAGAAAAGAAAAGAAUUCCUUGAACUAAAGCAGGGUAAGAUGACAGUGACAAAAUAUGAACGUGAAUUUGUCAAAUUUAACAAUUAUGCUCGAGAGUGUGUGUCUACUGAAGCUAUUAUGUGCAAGAGAUUUGAAGAUGGGCUCAAUGAUGAUAUUUGACUAUCAGUCAGUGUUUUAAAAAUAAAAGAGUUUGUUAUUUUAGUUGAAAGAGCUUGUAAGGCAGAGGAGGUGCUGAAAGGAAAGGGCAAAGCUGAAAUUGAAAUGCAAGACACGAAGAAAAGAUAGAUGAGCAAGUCGUUUUAGUCUACAUCCAAGAGGCCUAGAGAGUUCUCUACGAGAUCUAAUUUUUUAGCAAGGUAUUCUAGCCGAAAUAGAGGUAGAAGAUUUAUGGGUUAGAAAGCUCAGACCACUUCAAUUGUGAGUGUUGGUAGUAUUCAACCUGAUAGACCCGAGUGUCCUCAAUAUGGUCGACGUCAUCCAAGUCAAUGUUGAGCAACUGAGAUUGGUUGUUUCUGAUAUGGUGCAUCGGAUCAUUUCAUUCGGGAGUGUCCUGAGAUGGUUAAAAGAGAAGUAAUACCGAGUGUAAGAUCAGACAAUACCUCCGUUAGAGGCAGACCUCAGAGAAGUUCGGGAAUAGGGGCAGGUAGAGGUGCAUCUAGAGAUUCAGCAACGAGACCAGAUGUUUGAACACCUGCAAGGACCUAUGCUAUCCGUGCUCGUGAAGAGGCAUCCUCCCCCGAUGUAAUUACGGGUACAUUUUCUCUUCAUGAUGUUAAUGUUAUUGCUUUGAUUGAUCCGGGUUCGACCCAUUCCUAUGUUUGCAUGAAAAUUGAUGCCUAGUAUGAAUAUGUCCAUAGACUCUACGGGAUUUGUGAUUAAAGUAUCGAAUCCAUUGGGUCAGUAUGUAUUAAUAGACAAAGUAUGUAAAAAUUUCCCUUUGAUGAUUAGAGGUUACUGUUUUCAAGCUGAUCUCAUGCUAUUGCCAUUUGAUGAGUUUAAUGUGAUUCUUGGUAUGGAUUGGUUGACUGUGCAUGAUGUGAUAGUGAAUUGUGGAAAGAAAUUCAUUGAGUUGAAAUGCGAAAAUAGUGAAAUUCUUCGGGUUAAUUCAAAUGAGUCAGAUAGUUCAAUUGCCAUGAUUUCUAUUAUGUCUGCUUAGAAAUGCUUGAGAAAAGGAUAUGAAACUUAUCUUGCUUUUGUGUUGAAUACUAAAGAUCUAGAGUUGAAAAUUGAAUCAGUGCCUAUGGUAUGUGAGUUUUCUGAUGUGUUUCCGGAAGAACUACCAGGUUUGCCUCCUAUCAGAGAAGUUGAGUUUGGUAUUGAAUUGGUUUCGGGUACAACACCCAUUUCUGUUGCUCCUUAUAGAAUGGCUCCAAUGGAAUUGAGAGAAUUGAAAGUUCAGUUGCAGGAACUAAUAGAGAAAGGCUUUCCAAGACGUAGUUGUUCACCAUGAGGUGCACCAAUGCUCUUUGUGAAAAAGAAAGAUGGUUCGAUGAGAUUGUGCAUAGAUUAUCGGUAGCUUAACAAGAUGACUAUUAAGAACAAGUAUCCACUGCCUAUAAUUGAUGAUUUUUUUGAUCAAUUUAAGGGAUCUACUAUGUUCUCCAAGAUAGAUUUGAGAUCCAGAUAUUAUUAGUUGCGAGUUAAAGAGUCAGAUGUUCCUAAAACUACUUUCCGAACUAGGUAUGGCCAUUAUGAGUUCCUUGUGAUGCCAUUUGGCUUGACUAAUACUCCUGCCAUUUUCAUGGACUUAAUGAAUUAGAUUUCCAGACCUUACUUGGAUAAAUUUGUAGUUGUGUUUAUUGAUGAUAUCUUGAUUUAUUCUCAUGAUAAGAUUGAGCAUCCAGAGCAUUUGAGAACAGUUUUACAGACUUUGAGAGAUAAUCAACUUUAUGCCAAGUUUAGCAAAAGUGAGUUCUAGUUACGGGAAGUUGGUUUUCUUGGACAUAUAGUCUCAGGUAAAGGUAUUAGAGUUGAUCCGAGCAAGAUUUCAGCUAUUGUUGAUUGGAAGCCUCCCAGGAAUGUAUUAGAGCUCAGAAGUAUUCUUGGUCCCGCAGGUUAUUAUAGAUGAAUGUAGAGGGAAUUUCCAUGAUAGAUACUCCAUUGACAAGAUUGCUACAGAAAGAUGGCAAGUUUGAAUGGACUAAAAAGUGUCAGCCGAGUUUUGACAAGUUAAAGGCAUUGUUGAUUGAAGCUCCUGUCUUAGUACAAUUAGAACUGAGUAAAGAGUUUGUGAUUUACAGUGAUGCUUCCUUGAAUGGACUAGGCUGUGUACUUAUACAGGAAGGAAAGGUAAUUGCUUAUGCCUCUAGACAGCUAAAGCCACAUGAGAAAAAUUAUCUGAUACAUGAUUUAGAACUAGUUGCCAUUGUAUUUGCGUUGAAAAUCUGGAGACAUCACUUGUAUGGGGAGAAGUGACAAAUAUUUACUGAUCAUAAAAGUUUGAAAUACUUGAUGACUUAAAAUGAUUUGAACUUGAGGCAAAAAAGAUGGCUAGAGUUGACUAAUGAUUAUGAACUAGCGAUCGAUUAUCACCCGGGUAAGGCAAAUUUAGUUGCUGAUGCUUUGAGAAGAAAAUCUUUAUUUGCAUUAAGAGCUUUGAACACUAGUUUAACCUUAUCGGAUGAUGGUUCUAUCUCAGCCGAAUUAAGAGCUAAGCUAAUGUUUGUUGAAGAGAUUUUUGAAGUUCAGAAAGAUGACAGUGUGUUGCAAGCCAAAAGAGCUCAGUGUGAGUUGGGUAUAGAGUCAGAUUUUCAGAUCAGUUCUGAUGGUUGUUUAAUGUUCAGAAAUCAGAUAUGUAUACCAAAGAAUGAUGAGCUAAUUCAAAAGAUUUUAGAGGAAGCACGUAGCAAUUCCUUGUCUAUUCAUCCAGGUAGUACAAAGAUGUAUAAUGAUUUGAAGAAAUAUCUCAGAGUUUGUUUCUAGAUGCUUGAUCUGUCAGUAGGUAAAAGUCGAACAUCAGGUACCUUCAGGUUUAUUGUAGCCUGUGUUAGUUCCAGAGUGGAAAUGAGAUUGAGUUUCCAUGGAUUUUGUAACAGGAUUGUCGUUGACACCGAGAAAGAAAGAUGUAGCAUGGGUUGUGAUUGAUAAGCUAACAAAUUCACUUAUUUUAUUCCAGUUUGUAUGGAUUAUUCACUUGACAAGUUGGCUGAGUUGUAUAUUUUAGAGGUAGUUAGACUACAUGGAGUACCAUUAUCGAUUAUUUCAGAUAGAGACCCGAGAUUCACUUUGCGAUUUUGGAAGAAGUUACAGGAAGCUUUAGGCACAAAGUUGAGUUUUAGUACAGCUUUCCAUCCUCAGACCGAUGGUCAGUCAGAGAGAGUUAUUCAGAUACUUGAGGAUAUGCUCAGAUGUUGUGUCUUAGAAUUUUAAGGUAGUUGGGAGAAAUAUUUACUGUUGGUAGAGUUUGCUUAUAAUAAUAGUUACCAGUCGAGUUUGAAAAUGGCACCUUAUGAAGCUUUGUAUGGACGUAAAUGUCGUACACCUUUGUAUUGGACAGAGCUUAAAGAAAAUCAGAUUUACGGGGUUGAUUUAGUUAAAGAAACUGAAGAGAAAGUGAAAGUUAUCAGAGAUUGCUCGAAAGCAGCUUCAAAUAGACAGAAGUCUUAUGCAGACUUGAAAAGAAAAGAGAUUGAGUAUCAAGUUGGUGACAAAGUUUUCUUGAAAGUAUCCCCGUGGAAGAAAGUCUUUAGAUUUGGCAAGAAAGGCAAACUAAGUCCACGUUUUAUUGGACCGUUUGAGGUGACUGAAAGAGUUGGACCAUUAGCAUAUCAGUUAGCUUUGCCGCCAGAGUUAGAGAAGAUUCAUGAUGUGUUCCAUGUGUCCAUUUUAAUUCAUUACCAUUCUAAUCCUUCACAUGUGAUUUCACAGACAGAGGUUGAGAUUCAGCAAGAUAUGAAUUAUGGUGAAGAACCGGUAAAAAUUUUAGCUGAGAGGUCAAGCAACUAAGGAACAAAAGUAUUGCACUUGUGAAAGUAUUAUGGAAUAGGCAUGGGGUAGAUGAGGCUACAUGAGAGCUUGAAGAGGUUAUGCAAAAAUAGUAUCCAAAUCUUUUCACAGGUAAGAUUUUCAAGGACGAAAAUCCCUAAAGAGGGGAGAAAUGUAACAUCUUAAAAUAGGGCCUAAAAGGAAUAGUGGUUACAAAACCACGAAUUUGAGAUAGAAAAGUUCAUUCUGAUUAACUUUUAUAAUUUAUCGAGUGAUUAGAUGCAUGUGUUAGAGUAUCGAUGAAAAAUUUUAUAGAUAGCAUGCUUAAUUUACCUACUAAGGCUUAAUUGAAAAAGUUGAUAAAUAUGAGUUUUAGAUGCUAAAGUAUUAAAUUGAAGAGUGUAAUUGAAGUAGAGGUCCUUAAAUGGCAAUUAGACCAUUAGGUUUUCAUGGACAAAAAUGGACAUACAUAGAUAAAAAUAACUAAAGUUUUAAUGAAGGGUAUUUUAGUCAUUUGGUAAUUAAAAGAUUAAAAAAGGGGAAAAGAUGGAAAAAUGUGCCCAUCUUCUUCAUUAGGCCGAAAUUUCAAGGGUUCUUCAUAGCUAGGGUUUUGUCAAGCUUCCAAGCUUCAUAGUAAGUGAUUCCAAGCACCGUUUUUAAUGUUCUUUACGUUUUUGAAGUCCCGGUAACUUAAUUUAUCUUAUUCUAGCAAUAAUUUAAUCUAGGCUUCAUAUUUGGAAAAAUACCCAUAGGUGAAAUGUGUAAUAUGAAGCUUGAAAUUAUGUUAAACGACUUGAGCUAAGCGAUUUUAAGCGAAAACGAGUAAAACGAUAUAAUCGGUAAAAAUACCUAAUAGUCAUAAGUACAUGUUAGAGUGGGAAUUUGAUGUUGCUGUAGGUAAAUAAAUGAUCAGCGUGUCAUAAAACAUAAGAAUUAGGGAUAAAGUUUCAUUUCCGAGCCUUGGGGCAAAAGUGUAAAUAUGUGAAAGUUUAGGGGCAAAAUCAUAAUUUUGCCAAAGUUAGAGUUAAGGACUGUUUUGAUAAAUGUGAAUAUUAAAUAAGUUAAAUUUGCUAUUAUAGAUCAAGAAGAAUGAAAUUCUGAGUUAGACCGAGGAAAGAAAAAGACUGAGGACUAAAUCAAAAUAUUUGAUCGUAUUUUGUAUCGAGGUAAGUUUGCGAUAAAUAAAUACAGUUUUUAUUAUUUAUAAUUAAUGAUGUUAUUUUUCAACAUCUAUAUAUUUAUUUUGUAAAUUUAUUCCUUGAUGAUUCAAGUAAGAAUUGAUGGAGAAAUGAUACUUAAAAUUCCGGUUGAACCUUAGGAAUGUGUAGGAGACAAAUGUCAUGACAUUAGGGUUUAAGGAUACCAAGUAAGUCCAUGCCAAGGCAUGGCAUUGGUAAGUUUUACAAGGCAAGGAAAUCAUGUAAGACCAUGUCAAGACAUGGCAUUGAUAAACUACUAUAAGGCAAAUAUCCCAUGUAAGACCAUGCCAAGGCAUGGCAAUGGUAAGUUCAUAAGGCAAGGACACCACGUAAGACCAUGUCAAGACAUGGCAAUGGUAAGUUUAAAAGGAAAGGAACCCAUGUAUCCUUAGUAUUCCAAAUGGUUCAAAAAAAAAUUUAAAGAGUGUACCAAAGGGAAUGUAAGAUAAGUCCAUGUUCGAAAGGUUCAGUUUAUCUUAAUAUUUCAUUUAGAAUGUUGUUAUUUAUUUACAAGCAAACUUACAAAGCUUUAUGCUUACUUUCUUUCUUUUCUCUCCUUUUUAUAGUAUGUAACACCCCUUACCCAUAUCCAAGGCCGGAAUAGAGUACGAGGCAUUACUGGACUUAACAAUAUACAGAGACAAAAACCGGGCCAUAAAAUUUCAUUUAAUUAAAAACUUUUGGAACACAUGCAUAACAAACAAAGCUAACUAUAUCAUCACAUCAAAACAUAGGACAUGGCACGAUUAAUUAAACUUAUAAACCAUAAUGUAUAAGGACCACAUCUCAUGAUUUUAUACGAUAACUCAAUGCAGACUGAUACGUAUGGUCAAAAUCAUAAUAAAAAUACAUAUCACAAACCAACUUCCUAUACAUGCCACUCACUUGAUAUUUCUAAAAUUUGAAUUAAUUUUCCCAAAAAUGAUAAUUUGAUAGUGUGAUUUUGCCUCCGACGAUCUCCAACCCCGAGCCGACCUGCAAAUACUAAAGAAAUGGAGAGGAUGGGUAAGCUUUACGCUUAGUAAGUUCAUAUGAAAAUAAUAAGCAAUUACUACUAUGCUUUUCAAGAUAAAACACUAUAAUUGUACAAUUACACAUAUUCAGGACAGGCUAUUUUCUGGAGUCCCGGUGUUAAAAAAAAUCAUAUCUCAAGUUACAAAACUCAAAAUCCAAUUCUGUAAUUUUUUUAUGAAACUAGACUCAUAUGUAUACUUACUAAUUUUUUUUUCAAGAAUUUUUGGUUGGGCCAUUUAGUACAGUUUAUUAGUUAAAGUCUCCCCUAUUUUAGGGUAUGAUUACUCUGACCCCUGUGCACUACGAACCAAAUUUCUCCCUGUACAGAAUUCCAACGACCAUGUUGUUUGUUUCCCUUAAAAUUAGAUUCAAUAAGGAAUCCAUGCAUGUAUGGUAUGGCUCUCAAUAAUUUUUGAACAAUUUAUGGUGAAUUUUCAAAGUCAUGCACUGCUGCUGUCUAAUACCAUUUUACUACUAGAGUUCACUUUUACACAAUUUCACUUAAUCCAUUCCAUUUUACCGAGGUUCGCUAAAAUAUUGAGCAUAUUGCUCAUAAAUUCAAAUAAACAUAUACUUGCACUUGUUCAUCACAUAAUCACUUUCACAUGUAUUUUAAUUUAAUCGAUUUCCCGUUGAACUCAUAGGAAUAAUAACAGAUACAUAAUUGCCUACACAUUUUCCCAUUUCCACACUUGUAGCCGAAGCUAUCUGGUACGCAUAGCAACCUGCACUUAGUACUACAUAUGCGACCAACAGUCUGGUACACGUAGUAGCCUGCACUUAGUACUACACGCGUGACCUCACCAUCUAAUACACGUAGUAGCCUGCACCUAGUAAUACACACGUGAUCACAGUUUUCGGGUACGCAUAGUAGCCUGCACUUAGUACUACACAUGCGACCUCACAAUAGAUCAUUCGUAUCGUUUUUAUUCUGAAGGCUCAAUCGGGAAAUUCCUCACUUUUCAACAUUUUACUAAAUUGUCCGUAAUUAAUUUAAAUUCAUAAUUUACAUCAAAUAACCAUUUGAUAGGUAGCCACAUUUCAUAUGAUAUCAAAAUAUAAUAACAUAAAAAGAAUCGAUAGAUUAUUUAUGUACGAAUUUACUCGAAGUGUCGAUCUCACUACCCAUAGUACCAAUUGUACAUUCAUAGUAUAAUAAGACACAACUCAAAUAUCAAAUCAGCUUUUAAGAAUUUACAUAACAUAUAUCACAUAUUUCACAUAUCACUUGUCAUGUAUCUUCAUUUUCUUGCAUUGCAUGUAACAUUCUUUCAUGUCAUAUUUCCACAUCAUAAACACCAUUCCAUCAACUUUUCCAAUAUAUUAAAUCAUAAAAUAUAUGCAAUAAUAGUAAGAAAUAUAAUUCAAACAUAACAUUGCAUUAUUAUUAUCAUACGAACUUACCUCGAUCCUGAAACAGCAAUUUACCAUUUUAGUCCAUAACCUUGUAUUUUCCCGAUUUAAGCCCGAAUCUCGAUUUCCUUCAUCUAUAAUAUCACAUUUAGCCUAAUAAUUAGUCACACUAUUCAUUCGAGUCCAAAAAUCAUAUUUUUAAAACUUUUCAUUUUGACCCCUAAACUUUUGCACAUUUGCACUUUUACCUCAAGGUUCGGAAAUUAAACUUCAUCCUAUUUUCUUAUGUUUUAUGAAAUGUUGAUCAUUUUUCCCUUCUAUGGAAACAUCAAAUUCUCACUCUAACAUGUACUUAUGACUAUUAGGUAUUUUUACCGAUUAAGCUGUUUUGCUCGUUUUCACUUAAAACUGAGUAGCACAAGUUGUCUAACAUAAUUUAAAACCUCAUAUUCUAUCAUAAAACACCAAAAUACACAAAUUUCACCUAUGGGUAUUUUUCCAAAUAUGAACCCUAGGUUGAAUUAUUGCUAGCAUAAGCUAAAUCAAGUUAUCGGGACUCUAAAAACGUAAAAAUCAUUAAAAACGAGGCUAGAACGGACUUACAAUCGAGCUUGGAAUCUUGGAAACCCUAGCCAUGGAGUAUCCCUUGGCAUACACAUCCAUGGUGAAGAAGAUGAGAGCAAAAUUGGCUUUUAAUUUUGUAUUUUAAUUCAUUUUACCCCUGAAUGACCAAAAUGCCCUUACUACUAAACUUUCCAAAAAUUCCAUUCAUGUCCAAUAUUUGUCCAUAAACUUUGAAAUUGGUCAAAUUGCUAUUUAAGACCUCCUAAUUAAUAUUUCAAAGAAAUUUCAUACUAAAAACUUCUAGAAUGCAAGUUUUGCAACUUAUUCAAUUAGUCCCUAACUUCAAAUUAAGCACUUUAUGCAUAGAAUUUCUUCACGAAAUUUUCACACAAUCAUGCAAUCAUAUCAUAGACCUCAAAAUAAUCAUAAAAUAAUUAUUUCUAUCUCGGAUUGGUGGUCACAAAACCACUAUUCUGAUUAGACCCUGAUUCGGGAUAUUACAAUUCUCCCCCCUUUUAGCGAUUUUCGUCCCCGAAAAUCUUACCAGAAAAGUGGUUUUCGCUUAGAUUCCUCAAUUUCAUAUUCAGUGUUGAAGAACUUUCACUUAGGCGGUGCCUCCUAUAUAUCUCUUUAAUUUCUCAUAUAUUUUGAAAUUCAUUAGCAGAAGUCGAUCCUCACUGUACUCUUUUAGUUUGCUACUCACUAUCACAUUUUCCUCUUUCCGCUACGGAAGUAAUUCUGAUAUAACCUCGAAAAUAAUCCUUUCUUCUAGUUACAAAACAAUUCAUCAUGCCAUCCUUUACUUACGUUAAUCAAAACCGUCUCAAUUGCAUUAGCUCAAGUACCAAAAUAUCUCAAUUGAAGACAUUAACUAUAAUUGACUUACUUGAGAGAAGUAAUCCACCAUACCGAUUGAAAAUCGCACUUUUAUCACUUAUACCUUUACUGUUGUCAAACCUUACACGAAAAUUAGAAAAAUCCCAAUACUGAAAUCACCACAUCACCCAAAUCAAAUCAGAAGUAUAGCCAUACUUGACAUGAUUAUCACGAGCUGAAGAAUGCACUCUGAACAUGAGUCAUAGUUGACAAAUUACGGAAUAAAGAUAACAAGAAAACCGAAUAAAGAAACCUAAGAUAGAAAAACCCAGAAUAAAGAAACCCAAGAUACGAUACUAUGCCGGAAAAUUGAAAACCAAACUCAUAGGAAAAUAUAGAAGAUCCCGAUAAUUCCUCAGAUAAAAGAAAUCCAGUAGAAAACCUCAUUUAGACUCACUGGAAUCAAAUGCAACAAGAACAAUGUAUCUUCCCAUAUAUAUACAGAUCAAAUGGAGCAUUAAGUAGAAGAAACAGAAUCAUAGUAUCAUACAUAUUCUCUCAUCAAUUUUUUUUUAUCAGGCAGAAUAUAAUAGAAUGCCCAAAGGAAUAGAGCAAUAUAAAUUAUAAACCAGUCAAGCUACCAAUGCUUUCAUUUAACAUCAGGAUUAGAAAACAUCCCCAUAUAACAAGAAUUUCUUUAAAAGAUCAAUAAUCAUAGAAAUAUUUUUGGGAACGGAUAAACACAUAGAACAUCUUAGACGAAACUGCUAAAAUCUGUCCAACCGUAACUGUCACAGUCAGAUAUUACACAUUUCAGAUAUCAUUUCCCCAACUAUUUCUGCCAUCACAAAUUUCAUAUUACUUUUCACUUAAGAAGACUAGUUCUGAAUAAAUUUUUAUUUGCACUUUUCUCGACCUUGUACCUUAGUAAUUCGAUUUAUCAAAAUAAAUUUCUUCUCUAACUGGAAUAGUGCAUAACUCCAAUAAUCCUUAUGCCAAUCUGAUACUUUUCUAGCUUUGACUUUACUUAUCAAUUCAUUCUUCAAUCUCUAAUUAUAUUUAUAAUUAUUCUAGCACUGAACUCUUUGGUUUCUCAACCGGAAACUUAUUCAAUAUAAAUCUCAUGAAAUUCCAUUAUAAAACACCACUUUGGUAAGGGGAAAGGGGUUGUAGGGCCACUGAUUCAACUCUUAUAUACAUAUACAUGUAACACAGUUUUCUUCAUAGCAAUCAUAUCUCAAUCAUGUUAUUCAUUUCGAGUAACUAACAUUCAUAUUGAUGUAAUGCUCACUUUCCAGUUAUCUGAUUUAGUCAAGUAUAAUUAUGCAUGCAUCCUAUGUUUUCUGGAUAGCUUGACUUAUCCAUUCAUCUACUCGAACAAAUCAUACUCAUGACAUCAUAUAAGGGUUAAACAAACAUAGAUAUUUAUAUCACAAUCACAACUUUCGUUUCGUGCAUCAUCAUAUACAUAUAAUUACAAUCACAUAAUUCAGUCCAAACAAUUUAACAUAGAUAAAUUCAUUUCAUUAUAGUCAUUUAUCUCAUAAAAAUAUCAUUGACAUUCAUCAACAUUCAACGUUCAAUCAAGGAAAUGACAUUUUCAUUCAUAUCAUGAUAUUAGGAACUUUUACUCAUACUUCUACGAAUUUCUGUUUAUCCCGUUCAUCUUAUCAAGUAAGCCAAGUGCACUACAUCAUAUGAGCAUUAAGCAAGUAUGAAUAUUUAUCACAACAUGACCUUUCAUCUCACGUGUUAUCACUUAUAUAUAUCAUAAACUUUUAUUCAUACUUUUCUAAAUUGAGACUCAUCAUAAUCGUAAUUUUAUUCAAACACCUUCGCAUCACAUUGAACAUGAGCAGUGCAGCUUGGUUGGAGAGUACCUCUGUCUAAGCAAGACGGUGCUCAUACGUGUCGGGAGACAUCACACUAUCACGGAUCAGUGGCAUGUAUAGCUGGACUUUUACACAUGCUAGGUUAGUCCGAGAACCGACUAAGCCAUAGCUCUAAUACCACUAAAUGUAACACCCCUUACCCGUAUCCAAGGCUGAAACAGAGUACGAGGUAUUACCAGACUUAACAAUACACAUAGACGAAAACAGGGCCAUAAAAUUUCAUUUAAUUCAAAACUUUUGGAACAUAUGCAUAAGAAACAAAGCUAACUAUAUCAUCACAUCAAAACAUAGGACAUGGCACGAUUAAUUAAACUUAUAAACCAUAAUGGAUAAGGACCAAAUCUCAUGAUUUUAAACGAUAACUCAAUGCAGACUAAUACGUAUGGUCAAAAUCAUAAUAAAAAUACAUAUCACAAACCAACUUCCUAUACAUGCCACUCACUUGAUAUUUCUAAUAUUUGAAUUAAUUUUCUCAAAAAUGAUAGUUUGAUAGUGUGAUUUUGCCUCCGACGAUCUCCAACCCCGAGCGACUUGCCAAUACUAAAGAAAUGGAGAGGAUGGGUAAGCUUUACGCUUAGUAAGUUCAUAUGAAAAUAAUAAGCAAUUAAUACCAUGCUUUUCAAGAUAAAACACUAUAAUUAUACAAUUACACAUAUUCAGGACAGGCUAUUUUCUAGAGUCCCGGUGUUAAAAAAAUCAUAUCUCAAGUUACAAAACUCGAAAUCCAAUUCCGUAAAUUUUCUAUGAAACUAGACUCAUAUGUCUACUUACUAAUUUUUUUCUAGAAUUUUUGGUCGGGCCAUUUAGUACAGUUUAUUAGUUAAAGUCUCCCCCUAUUUCAGGGUAUGACUACUCUGACCCCUGUGCACUACGAACCGAAUUUCUCCCUGUACAGAAUUCCAACGACCAUGCCGUUUGUUUCCCUUAAAAUUAUAUUCAAUAAGGAAUCCAUGCAUGUAUGGUAUGACUCUCAAUAAUUUUUGUACAAUUUAUGGUGAAUUUCAAAGUCAUGCACUGCUGCUGUCUAAUACCGUUUUACUACUAAAGUUCACUUUUACACAAUUUCACUUAAUCCAUUCCAUUUUACCGAGGUUCACUAAAAUAUUGAGCAUAUUGCUCAUAAAUUCAAAAAUAAACAUAUACUUGCACUUGUUCAUCACAUAAUCACUUUCACAUGUAUUUUCAUUUAAUCAAUUUCCCGUUGAACUCAUCGGAAUAAUAACAGAUACACAAUUGCCUGCACAUUUUCCCAUUUCCACACUUGUAGCCGAAGCUAUCUGGUACGCAUAGUAGCCUGCACUUAGUACUACACAUGCGACCAACAGUCUGGUACACGUAGUAGCCUGCACUUAGUACUACACACGUGACCUCACCAUCUAAUACACAUAGUAGCCUGCACUUAGUACUACACACGUGAUCACAGUUUUCGGGUACGCAUAGUAGCCUGCACUUAGUACUACACAUGCGACCUCACAAUAGAUCACUCGUAUCGUUUUUAUUCCGAAGGUUCAAUCGAGAAAUUCCUCACUUUUCAACAUUUUACUAAAUUGUCCGUAAUCAAUUUAAAUUCAUAAUUUACAUCAAAUAACCAUUUGAUAGGCAGCCACAUUUCAUAUGAUAUCAAAAUAUAAUAACAUAAAAAGAAUCGAUAGAUUAUUUAUGUACGAAUUUACUCGAAGUGUCGAUCUCACUAUCCAUAGUGCCAAUUUUCCAUUCAGUAUAAUAAGACACAAAUCAAAUAUCAAAUCAGCUUUUAAGAAUUUACAUAACAUAUAUCACAUAUUUCAUAUAUCACUUGUCAUGUAUCUUCAUUUUCUUGCAUUUCAUGUAACAUUCUUUCGUGUCAUAUUUCCACAUCAUAAACACCAUUCCAUCAACUUUUCCAAUAUAUUAAAUCAUAAAAUAUAUGAAGUAAUAGUAAGAAAUAUAAUUCAAACAUAACAUUGCAUUAUUAUUAUCAUACGAACUUACCUCGAUCCAGAAAUAGCAAUUUACCAUUUUAGUCCAUAACCUUGUAUUUUCCCGAUUUAAGCCCGAAUCUCGAUUUCCUUCAUCUAUAAUAUCACAUUUAGCCUAAUAAUUAGUCACAUUAUUCAUACGGGUCCAAAAAUCAUAUUUUUAAAAAUUUUUAUUUUGACCCCUAGACUUUUUCAUAUUUGCACUUUUGCCUCAAGGUUCGGAAAUGGGUGUUUAAAAGGUUGUUCGUUGUAAAUGGGUGUUUAAAAAGAAAGAAGGGACUUCAAGAGUUGAAGAACCCAGAUAUAAAGCAAGGCUUGUUGCAAAAGGGUUACAAUCAAAUUUCAGGAGUGGACUUCAUAGAUGUGUUCUCCCCUGUUGUGGAGCACAGUUCGAUUUGAGCUUUGCUUGGUAUUGUGGCCAUGCAUGAUUUGGAGCUUGAGCAGUUAGAUGUAAAAACUGCAUUUUUGUAUGGAUAACUUGAGAAAGACAUUUACAUGCAACAACCAGAGGGUUUUAUAGUCUCAGAAAAAGAGGACUAUGUUUGCUUGCUGUGAAAGUCUCUUUACGGUUUGAAAUAGUCACCAAGACAGUGGUACAAGAGGUUUGGUUCCUUUAUGAAUACUCAUGAUUUCCAAAGAAGUAGUUUUGACAGUUGUGUUUACUUUAAGAAAAAUAGUGAUGGUUUUUUCGUUUAUCUACUUCUUUAUGCUGAUGACAUGUUGAUAGCAGCAAAAGAUAAAGAAGAGAUAAGAAAGGUCAAAGCCCAACUAAGUAAAGAAUUUGAGAUGAAAGAUUUGGAACCAGCAAAGAAGAUACUUCGUAUGGAGAUUCUCAGAGAUAAAAAAGCAAGUAAAUUGUACCUAUGUUAAAAGGGGUCCAUUGAGAAAGUUCUUUGCAGGUUCAAUAUGCAGAGUGCUAAGCCUGUUAAUACUCCUUUAGCGGCCCAUUUCAGACUUUCAUCAGCUUUGUUUCCACAAUCAGAUGAUGAGAUUGAGUACAUGUCACAUGUUCCAUACUCUAAUGUAGUGGGAUCUCUCAUGUAUGCUAUGAUUUGUUCACGUCCAGAUUUAUCAUAUGUAGUCAGUGCAGUUAGCAGAUACAUGGCGAAUCCUGGUAAAGAACACUAGAAAGCAGUUCAAUGGAAUUUAAGAUACUUAGGAGGUACUACUGAUGUCUGCUUAUAGUUAGGAAGAACUAAAGAUAGUGUCAUUGGGUAUGUUGAAGCUGAUUUUGCUGGAGACCUUGAUAGAAAAAGAUCUCUCACAGGUUAUGUCUUUACAAUCGGAGGUUGUGCAAUCAGUUGGAAAGCCACUUUGCAAACUACAGUCACUUUGUCUACCACUGAAGCUGAGUACAUGGCAAUUACUGAGGCUUGUAAAGAAGCUAUUUGGUUGAAGGGACUCUUUAGUGAACUCAAUGAAGACCUUCAAAUCAGUACAGUAUUUUGUGAUAGUCAGAGUGCAAUCUUCCUUACAAAAAAUCAAAUGUUUCAUGAGAGAACAAAACACAUUGAUGUUCGGUAUCAUUUUGUUCGUGAUAUUAUUGCUCGUGGUGAUAUUUGUGAGCAAAAUUAGUACUCAUGAAAGUCCUGCAGAUAUGAUGACUAAGUCAUUUCCUAUAACCAAGUUUGAGCAUUGCUUAGACUUGGUUGGUGUUCAUUGUUGAAGUUAAACCUUUAAGGGGUUUUAUGGAAGAGGUGGAAAACUUUUUCAUUGAGAGUUCGCGAUGAAUAACUUGUUCAUUGAGAAUUUGUGUCAAGGUGGAGAUUGUUAGAAUUAAAUGACCCGAAUCCUUAUUUAAACAAAAUAGAGUGGUAAAAUAAAAUAAAAGUAAAAUCCAUAUGAAACUACACUUCUUUUAUUUUAUUUUAGAAUAAGGUUUUUUAAACCUUAUUAAACUUCAUCUAUUUUUUAUUGGUUAGAAUAAGGCGUUUCAAUCUUACUAGAAUAUGGCUAUACAAGCCUAUAAAUAGACAUAGUCUAUUCCUCUUGUAAUUAUUCAAAUUCGACAUAGUGAAUUUUCUUCUCUUCUGCCUGUGGCUUUUUUCCCGGAAGGGUUUCCACGUAAAAUCUGUGUGUUCUUUAUUUUAUUUUAUUUUCACAUACUUGUUGUUAUCAUAUUAUUAAGCACAAUACCUAUUUAUAACCAAAUAUAAAAAAUAUUUCACAUUUUUGUUGACUCAAUAUUUUUCUUUAAACAUUCUUUGUUUGUAACUAAUUUACUUCAACAUUCACUAUCUUUGUUACAACUUAAUAAUUUCUCUCACGUAUUCAGUUUUAGAGCCCUUGUUAAAGAUUUCACUUCAUAUCUUAGAUAGAUUAGUUCAUAUUUUCUAAACAUUUACGAGUUCGUAAACUGAAUUUAUUGUGGACUAAGUUCACUUCUUAUUCCCAACAUUCCAAUCUAACUUAAUAUAUCAAAUUUUAUUUUAUAGCCCUUUGUAGCUUUAGUAAGAAUGAUUCAAAUAUGAAAAACUUCAUUCAAACACACCAAGGUAAUGCACUUGAGGUGCCCCAGCCACACACAUCAAAGAUCUACAUAAAAAUUGCACUAUAAUUGCAUAUCCUCCAAACACACCAACAACACAAAUGUGCUAUGCCAUAAGGCAUCAAAACAUAACUCUACACACACAUACCCAUACAAGUUGCAUCUAAUUCCUAUGACAUGCUAAUCGUAUCUUAGCUAAUCUACCAAGCUCAUAAGAGAUUUCAUCUUAUUAAUCAAUUUGAUAUUUAAUAGUUCACAUAAUUACAUAUCAUAAAAUGUUAUCAUGGUUUCAAAAGGACACAACAAAUCUUAAAUUUUACACGCAUUACAUUUUGGUGCUUAUUGGCACCCAAUCAUCACCUAUACUCAUCCACAUGAUCACAUUGUCACUUAAGUGACCCAUAUCACCACACAAUGCUUCACAUGUUUACUUAUGUACUUACCAAAUCAAAUCAUUCCACAAAUGGCAUUAGUCAUUCUCUUUUCUUAAUUUACAUAAUUACUUAUUAGGUGACCAUGUCACCAUAUCACACACUUUUAUACAAUUUAUCAUUUGAUACUUCAAAUAUCAACAAAUUAAUUCACAAAUAAAUGCUUAUUAAGCGAUUCAAUUUUCAUAACACAUCACUACCCAUUUCCUUAAUUCUUUCUUUUCAAAAUAAGUCAUAUUUCAAAUUUCACGUCUACCUUAUUUUAAAAUGUCAUAUUAACACAUAUGUUCAUUUCCAAAAAAAAAAAAAAAGAACAUGCCAUAACACUUAAGUAUUCAAAUUCUAUUACAAAUUUUAUUGUCAUAUAUUCUAAGGAAAAUUUUAACUAAUAUUAUCAUUUUCUUCACAAUCAUCACAACACAUGAAAUCAUACUUACUCUUAUUCCAAUAUACAAUAAUUAUUUGGCCAUUUAUUAAACUAAUUACCAAUUUUCAUAAUCAUUUUAAUGAGGGAAGUUAGCAAAUCCAAGGGCACUUACCUCUUGGAUGAACUUAAACACAAAACUAAGCUUUCUAACACUUGAAUCCUCUUUUCCCUAGUAUGGAAGCUCACCUUCCAUCAUUUCUUAUUCUUUUUAUUAAAAGCUUUCUCUCCAUAACCCAAGUUUUUUGUCACUAGACCAUAUAAAACCUAAGCUUUUAUGGGGAGAUUGAUGAUGGAAGUAUGCUUAGAAGGUGAUUUCUCCUUGAUUUUGGUAAUAACUCAAAGUGGAUUGAAGAAAUUUGUGUUUAAUUUGAAGAAAAUGUGAGAAAAAUGGAAAGGAAAAACUCUUCCUUCAAGCUUAGGGAGGGUUUCCCUGAUAAUGGGAAGAAAAAUGGUGAAUUUUUCUCCUUUUUUUUAAUACAUUAAAACUUAUCAAGUUAAGGUCAAGUAAAAGUUCAACUUAAAACUCGUGGUCCACAUUAAAUCACCAUGCUUUCAUCACAUCCAAUGGCUCAAAAUUAAUCUAGAAAAAUAUAAUAUCUCUUCAAAUAAUAUUUUAAUAUAAAUUUUACAUAAAAUGACCAAAAGCCCAUAUAAGGAAAAUUUGUACUUCAGUUACUUUUUACCCAUUUAUCACACUUCACAUUAGACUUAACACUUAACAUAUUCAAAAUUUAUAAAUCAUACUUAUACUCUAAUAUUAAUUCAAAAAUGAUAAGAAUUACACUUUUCCCCCUUUUAUAGUAAAAAUGGUAAAAUUGUCAUUUGGUUCCUAUACUUUUCACUCUUAUUCAAUUUAGUCCAACAAUGGUUUUCAUCAUACUAAUACAGAUUUCAUUUCAUUCUCAUACCAAAUAAUCAUUAUUAACUCACAUUUUCUCUACCAGGUCAAAUUGCACUUUAGUCAUACUUUUUUAAAAUUUGUGAUUUGGUCAUUUUCCAACUUUUCACAUUCACAAUUGUGGCAUUGAUUUCCAUCUUCAAUGUCAAAUUUGUAACACCCCAAACCCGGCCUAGACGUUAUGGCCAAAUCUGUGAUGUCACAUUGGAGUGAUUUUUGAAAAGCGUAGUUUUAGUAGAAAAUUCCAUUUGUGUUAAAAUCUCAUUUGUGUUCUUUAAGAGAAGUUAACUUAUUUGUUCAUUUGUUAAUUUAUAGGUUUGAUUAUCAAAGCAUGAAUCACACUAAAUCGUUGUUACGCUUUGAAAACAUUGUUUGUUGCAGAAGCUUUUAAAACAAGUUGUGUAGCUUGGUAGUUGAAAAGCAUUUACUUUUUGGAAAACCCGUAUCUUACUGCUAAUAGUUAUAAGUCAAUUUAAAUAAGUUCCCAAAUGAAAAUAAAACUUAAAACAGCCUUAUUACAUAAAAUUUAUCCAAGUAAAACUACUUUUACCAAAAAUCCAAAACGAAACAUAAAUAGUGGUUUGGCCAUCUCCAAGUCCCUCGUAGCACCGACCCGCCUUAGGAUUACUUGCAUAGAUAGGCAGAAAAGGUGAGUUUAUGAAAACUCAGUGUGUAAACCAAAUUUAUCAAACAGUCAAACAUACAGUGCUGAACAGUCUGGGCUUAAGCCCAUAUUGAUAGCAAUAUCAGUGUGGGCCUUAGCCUAGUACAGUAACAGUAUUAGUGUGGGACUUAGCCAACUUCAGUAUAGUAUCCAAGAUGCAUACAAGGUCCUACCCAUCCAUCCUCUGCACUCCACUCCGUCCAACCUAACACUCCAUGUGGGGAUAAAAUCGACCCACCCAUCCCUACACUCCAGAAAAUAGUACGGUUGCGGCUCUAAUAGUAUUUGUAGCAGAGUUGCCAGUAAUAGGCUUGUAGCCAUUCAGUACACUUCCUCCAAUAUCAUAUGUCCCACCCCAUGCAAUGCAACAUAAUAUAAUAUACAUAUAUAAUUAAGAUGGCAUGCUCAACACUUAUAUAUCACAUAAGGGUAUUUCAGUCAUUUGCCUCAUAAGGGUAUAACGGUAAUAACACAAAUUAGGGUCUAGGUGUACUCAUCAACCCAAUGUAAGACCACAGUCAUCUCGUGUGACCCUUGCACCCUUAACAAUUUAAAUAGCGAUAAUGGGCCCAAGGCCAAAAUAUGGCCUAUGUGGGCCCACACACUUGUGUGGCCCAAUAAGCCCAAAUAAUGGCCUUGGCCGUGUAAACAACACAACCGACUCAAUAAUCUCUACACAUCUGUGCAGUUUACCCGUGUAGGGCCCAUGAGCCCGUAGGGCCGGCACGGCCCAUUUUGGCCCACUGUGGCCAAAAAUUGACUUAAGUCCACGAAAUCAUUCAUGGCGGCCUCUUUGAUCGAAUGCCUACGUUUCGUGCAUUCGCCUCACUGUACGAGUGUGCGUACGCUCGUGUAGUGUUAACAGUCGCACAUUUUCGGCGUUUGCCAAUCUAUGAUAAUAGUAGUGUGAUUACACACCUUUUUGCGAUAAGUGCGCCUAGGCCGAGCGUUCCCCAAACCUACAUUCAAUCAUGAUAUUUGUUAGUCAAUUUACACUAGGGUUAAUCACCCUUCUUAAUCCCAACUAUCGUAACACCCAAUACUUGCCUUAAUCAAAGGAUACUUGGCCCUGCAAGAACCGUUGAUGAAAGCUAGCUUACUCCCUUAAUUAAAUAACUGCAUUGACAACAACCCAUUAACAAUGACCAAAACAAAUGUCACGAGACUAAAAUACUUCCUAUUGAAAACAUAACCCAAAGAUAGGAGGAAAUAGGCAUUCAGCCAACCCAUUCCUAAACAAGUCACACAUCCUUUGAACCUCGUAAUUGAAAACAACAUUACCUUGUUUGAGUAAGGAGUGAAGGGUUUGACUGCUCAGUAAUCACUAGCAAUAUCUUCACUCUCCAAGAAACUAGAGCUCACAAGGAACACCACACCAAGGAAAAUGAAGGUAAGAAUCGGCAAGAGGGAAAAAGUAUUUGGAUUUGAGCAAUGCAAUAAGUACUUACCGACUUGUUUGAAGAAAAACACCAAGCCCAACCAAAAGGGAUGGAAAGUUCGGUCCCACAGGCAAAAUGGACUGGAACAACUUUGAUGAACAUGAGAGUCGAAAGAGGGAGAUGGUAAAUUCGAUCAAGGGGGAAAAAGAAAAGAAAGGUGAAGGAAGUAUGUGUAUUUGGUCAAGAGGGGUAGUGUUGAAGAGGUAGAAAGUAGAAACCACAACCCAAAGUGACACUAGAAGAUGAUGAAGAAAUCGACCAAAGUUCAAAAGAGAGAAAGAGAGAGUAAACAGGGUUCAGGCUAAACAAAGAGUACAAUCACGAGAAGGUCAGAAACAAAGAAUAGCGGUAGAUACUGAUUAACCAAUAGACAAAAGGGAGUUCCAAACUGCACCACAAGUGCGAAACAAAAGUACCCGAAGAAUACCAAACAAAAAUCGACCAGCCAACCAAAAAUGCAAAGGAGCCAAAAGAAAAGAAAUUCAAUUACACAUGAAAUGAAGAAAAGAACCCUACCCCACACUUCAGCCGAAUUCCCUUGUAUUUAGAGUCCUUGUACGACACCAACACACCCUUCACUUGCCUCCUCAAAUCUCUCCAACAACACAUUAUCCAUAUCCAUUCAAAACACCUAACUUUUCUCCCCACAACAUUCCUAUAUUUGGUUACAACUCCCCACUCCCCUCGCUACUUUCAACUGCCCAGCAGCAUCAGAAUCCUACUAACAAACAACCCCUGCACGACACCGUAGCAAAAAAAACACCUCUUGAGGGUAGAGAGACUCAAACCCGAGUCCUUUGCCAUAAGUAACAUGCCCCUAUCCUCUGGAUCAACACGCUUUUUAUAACAUAACCUCCCCUCAAUUUAAAUAAAAACCCAACAUCUAACAGCAAGGGUUUAAUUCAGUAAAAACCCAAAAAUUUUGCUAAGGCCCAGGUUUGAACCCAGGACUUCUCACACCUCUUAGGACACCCUUAACCAUCAAAGCAAGCAAGCCAUAUGCAACAGAACACACAAUUAGAUCAUUAACAAAUUUGGGGCGUUAUAACUCUACCCCCUAAAAGAAAAUUUCAGCCUUGAAAUUUACCUGAUCAGAACAAAUGAGGGUAUUAUUAUCGCAUCGCCUGCUAGAGUUCCCACGUGGCUUCGUCAGAACUAUGAUUAAGCCAUAGCACCUUAACCAAUGGAACUGACUUUUUCCUCAAAACUUUCACAUCACGGUCUAAAAUCUGUACCGACUAUUUCUCAAAGGUCAAAUCUGGUCUAACCUCAAUUUUCUUAGUCAAAACAAUGUGUGAAGGAUCAGAGCGACAUCGUCUCAACAUAGAGACGUGGAACAUAUCAUGAAUUUGAUCCAACUCUAGAGGUAACUCAAGUUGAUAGGCAACUGGUUCCAGACGUUUCAAUAUACGGUAAGGCCCAAUGAACCUAGCACUUAGCUUGCCUUUUCGACCAAACCUUAGUACCUUAUUCCACGGUGAGACCCUAAGAAACAACAAGUCCCCCAUAGAAUACUCAAUCUCCUUAGCUUCAGAUUCGCAUAUGACUUCUGCCUGUAUGAUGCCACCUUCAGUCGAUCUCGAAUCAAUCUAACUUUAUCCUCAGUAUCAGAAAUUAAUUCAGGACCCAGAACAAGUCGCUCGCCCAACUCCGUCUAACACGUAGGAGUACGACACCUACGAUCGUAUAAUACCUCGUAAAGUGCCAUCUGUAUGCUAUAUUGGUAGCUAUUGUUGUAUGCAAACUCAGCCAACGAAAAAUAAUCCUCCCAACUGCCCCGAAAAUCAAUCACACAACUCCUUAACAUAUCUUCCAGUAUUUGAAUCACCUUCUCUGACUGCCUGUCUGUUUGAGGAUGGAAUGCAGUACUGAAGUCCAACCUUGUACCCAAUGCUUCAAGUAACUUUUUGCAAAAUUGAAACGUGAAAAGAGGAUCCCUAUCAGAUAUUAUAGAAACCGGUACCCUAUGCAGUCUCACAAUUUCAGACACAUACAACUUAGCCAACUUCUGUAACGAGUAGCCUAUAUGAACGGGUAUAAAAUGGGUGGAUUUAUUCAGUCGACAAACAAUGACCCAUACUAAAUCCUUCUUAGUAGGAUUAAGGGCAGCCCAUUAACAAAGUCCAUUUUCACCCUCUCCUAUUUCCAAAGCAGAAUCUUGACCGGCCGAAGCAACCCUAAAGGCAAUUGAUGCUCCGCCUUAACCUGUUGGCAUGUUAGGCACUUACUCACAGAAUCAGCAAUUUCAUGCUUAAGCCCUAGCCACCAAUACAACUCUCGAAGAUCUUAGUACAUUUUAUUCCCCUCAGGAUGCAUAACAUAAGGACUAUUAUAUGCUUCUUGCAGUAUAGACUGUCUCAAAUAAGUAUCUUUCAAUAUAUAGACUUUCCCACGGUAACAAAGUAUCCCUUCGCUAUUCAGCCCAAAAUCUGAAGUUUCUCCAUUCUCAAUCUAUAAAAAAUGAGAGCCCGACGACUCAUCUUCCAAUUGCUUACCUUUAAUCUAUUCAAUCCACCUUGGUUUAAUUUAAAGUUCGGCUAGUAAACUACCAUCGUCAAAUAAACUAAGACGAGCAAACCUUUCCCUCAAGUCAGUAACAGGCCUACGGCUCAGUGCAUUGGCUACAACAUUAGCCUUACCAAGAUGGUAUUCAAUUGAACAGUCAUAAUUCUUAAGCAGUUCAAUCCAUCUAUGCUGCCUAAGGUUUAGCUCCUUUUGAGUGAGGAGAUACUUGAGGCUUUUGUGAUCUGUGUAAAUAAUACACUUCUCAUCAUAUAGGUAAUGCCUCCAAGUUUUCAGUACGAACACCACUGCGGCCAACUCCAAGUCAUGCGUCUUAAGCUGACGAGACGCAUAAGCCACUACCUUACCCCCUUGCAUCGACACACAUCCUAAACCAACAUGUGAUGAAUCGCUGUAGACAGUGAAUUCCUUUCAAGACUUUGGCUGUACAAGACAGGGGUCUCAGUUAGAACUUUCUUGAGUUUCUCAAAACUAUCUUGCUACUUAUCAGUCCAGUUAAUUGGUACUUCUUUACGCAACAACUUAGUCAGAGGUGCAGCAAUCAACAAAAACCCCUCAACAAAGCGUCUAUAAUACCCUGCCAAACCCAGAAAACUUUGAAUCUCAGAUACCAUUUUAGGCUGUUUCCAAUCCAGAACAGCCUCAAUUUUCCAAAGAUCAACCCUAAUCCCCUCUGCAGAUGCCACAUGACCCAAAAAAGUUACCUUCCAUAACUAGAAUUCACAUUUACUGAAUUUAGCGUAUAAUUGUUUCUCCCUCAAAAUCUGCAGAACAACACGGAGAUGUGCAUCAUGAUCCUCCUCUGUCAUCAAAUACACCAGAAUGUCAUUUAUAAACACCACUAUGAACUGGUCCAGAUAGGGCUGGAACACUCAGUUCAUCAGACUCAUAAAAGCUGCUAGUGCAUUCGUCAGUCCAAACGGCAUCACUAGAAACUUGUAAUGACUGUAACGAGUCCUAAAGGCUGUCUUGUAAACAUACGAUGUAACGCCCUGAUUUUAGAGAUUUUUUGGGUUUUUGUGAUUUUUGGUAAAUUUUGAAAUUUCGGUGUUCUGAAUAUUGGAAUUGUGUUUAAAUGUGUUAGUGGGCCUUUAGAAGGCCCAAGCCUAAGUUAAACACGGUAAAAUAUCAAGGUUGGAUUUUAAGUGAAUAGGGGACUUAGUUAAGUGGGCUUUUAAGAAGAACUUCGUAAAUUAAAGGUGGCAAGGUGGCAAGGUGGCACCACUAGGUUCCUAAAAAAAUGACAUCUGGGAAGGAAUUAAAGGUCCAGGGUUCAAGUUGCAAGGUAAGCAUAUUGUUACUUUUUAAUUUUAGGCAUGUGCCGGGCAUGUGAUCACUUAAGUGAAUUUCGGCAAGGGCCUUAGGAAGGUUGGGCUGAUUGUUUUAGUUGAUAUUAGGGCUAGGUUCAUUUCUUUUUCUAUCUUAGAGAAUUAGGGAUAGCCACCUAAAAGCUUUCACCGUCAUUCAUCCUUUCUGAGUUCUCACAAAAGCCGAAAACGCAAAUUCCUUCUCCUUGGUGCCGAUUUCUUCUUCCUCUCUUUUUCCUCUAUUUUUUCUUCCUUUUUGCUUUUUCUUCUAGCCGAAACCUUCUGAUCACCUUAAUCACCUCCUCUGUCAAUCCCAUCCUCCACAAAACCUCCAUAGCCGAUUGCCAUAAAAGCCAAAAUCCCGAAAACUCACUUAUUGUGCCGAUUUCUCCAAGCCAAAAUCCUUCAGUUAUUUUUGUUCUUUUUGAUCAAAUUUCAUCUUCUCUAAACCCUUAGUAUCUGUCGGCAACAUUACUUCAAAGUUAUAACCUCAAAUCGACAUCUUCUUCAUCACUUAAAAAGCCGAAAUACCAUAGAUUUAGGGACUUAUAGCUGAAACUUCAGAUCUCCUAGAUUCGAGUUCUACUAUCAUUUAGAGGAUAGAUCUACAUCAGAUCUACAAAGAAAUCAAAGAGGAAUAAGUGGUAAGUGCUCAUCACCUCAGAUCUAGUCUUAUUUUACAAUUUAGAAAAGCCGAAGUCCCUAAAAUCUAGGGAGGCUGUCUAUUUAGGCAUAGAGCUUUAAGAGUCUUUAACCGAUGAUUUCUUUUGGUGAUUAGUGUCUUCUAGAGGUUUGAUCAAAGGCUUGGAUCUUUGGAACAACUAGACUUAGAUCUAGUCAUCGAUUUUCGGCAAAAAGGUAAGAUUCGAAAGGCUUUAGGGCAUGGUUUGAAUAUGGGUUGCUGAAUAUUGGGAUUGGUUGUUGUGGGUUGCAAUAUAAGAAUUGUGGUAAUCAAUUGUAAGACAUCGUAAGGGAUCUCAGUAGCAGUCAUCGCGAAAUAGGUGUGUAUCGAACACCCCUUCAUAGUUCAAUUCGGCAAAAGCCGAAAUGCCAAAAUUUUGGCAUUUCGUGGGCUUGUGAGUGUGCGAGUGCUCACAAGACGUUUAGAAAUCAUUAGAUCUGAAAUCGCAAGUGGUAAGUUAGUCGUGUGUGAAGUUUUGUGCACUUCGGUAAUAGGGCCUCAAUAGGCUAAAACUGGGCCCAAUGGGCUUACGGGCCCAUACGGGUAAAUAAUAAAAAUAUUUAUAAUAUAAAAAAAGGCAAUAAGUAUGUUCUGUUAGACCAUAGAAUCGAAACUGCUUAAACCGGUAAACUAGUCAUAAAACUUGAAGUAAAUGGGCUUAAAUGGCUAAUGGACACUGUAGGGCCCAUUAGGGGUUUUAGGGCCCAAUGGCUAAAAUUGGGAAAUUGAGAUAAAUAAAUUACUACGAUGAAAAAUGGGCUAGUAAGGACCGUAACAUUCAUGAGAACCCUUAAGACUGAUAAAAUUACUGAAAUACCUUUAUAGGUGGAAAGUUUACAGUUUUACUCCAAUGAGCAAAAUUACUGAUAUACCCCUAGGGUUAAGGUUGACCUGAAUGCAUGUUUGACUGUUACUAUUUACCGCAUGCCAUGUCAUUAUUAUCUGAUGCAUGGGACUGGGUUAUUGAUGGAGGAAGUACUGAAAGUGGCUUGACCACGUAUUGGAGGCUUUCCCUCAACUUACUGAUAUCUGAGCAGCUAUGCUGCAACUGUGGAGUGUAGGGCUGGGUGGGUUGAGCUAUUCCCCACAUGGAGUGGAGGGUUGGUACGGGUGGAGUGUAGCGGUUGGUUAUAGGCUGGGUUGGGCUUGCAUACACGAAUAUGUCUGUUUUGUUCUGGAAUGGGCCUACAGGCCAUACUGUUAUCUGAAAAAGGGCUAAGGCCCAGUUUAUCGUAUUCUGAAAAGGGCUUCGGCUCAGUACCCGUGGUUAUCUGAAUAGGGCUUAGGCCCAAUGGGCUUUAGCUGACUUGGGCUUUGGAUGGGUUUUUCAUAUACACUGAGUUUUCCAAACUCACCCCCUUUCUCUUCCAUCCUUGUAGGUGAGCCCUAAUUGGUGGACUUGGAGCUUGGCGGGAUUCAGAGUGGCCACGAAGAUUAAAUUGCUGGUUUUAAAUAAGUUUCAAGUAGCUUCCUUUUUAAUUUUCGCAUUUAUUUUUGAUUAUUUCUAUUUUGGUUAAAGUUGUAAUAAGGCCGUUCUAUUAUUUUUAUUUUGGGUUUUUAAAUUACUUAAAUCAUUUUCGACUUGAGAUUAACAUCACUUAGAUUGAUUCCUUGAAAUUGGUUAACUCUGGGUUUAUCAAAAAUUACUUGUUUCAAACCGACAUGACCACCAAACGUCUUUGAAAUGAAGCUCUUCAAAGUACAACAAAAGUCACGUUUUUUCUAAACCCUUAACAAUCGAUGAUGGAUAGGACUCACACUAGUGAAUCGGAACAUUUCUCUUAAAACUUCAUUAAUGGUUUUUGCAAAGCUCACCCAAACUUUAGUAAACUAGGUAACUUGGUUAGUGGUAGGUAAUGUGACACACUGGAUUCAGCCGUAACGUCUAGGCCGGGUUUGUGGUGUUACAUCUGACUCCUUGACCCUUAGUUGAUGGUACCCCGAUCAGAGAUCAAUCUUAUAGAAGACCGAAGCUCCUAGAAACUGGUCGAAUAUAUCGUCAAUCCUCGUAGGGGUACUUAUUCUUGAUAGUCAAUUUGUUCAGUUGCCGAUAGUCAAUGCACAUACGCAUGGUUCAUCCUUCUUCUUAACAAAUAAAACCAAUGCUCCCCACGGAGACACACUAGGACAAAUAAACCCUCGAUCCAGUAACUUUGAAUCUGCGCUUUAAGCUCCUCAAGCUCCUUCGUUGCCAUUCUAUAAGGGGCGAUGGACACUGGAGCUAUACCAAGCAAGAGCUCUACCCGAACUUAACUUCAUGGUUAGGAGGUAACCCUGGUAACUCAUUAGAAAAGACAUCUGAAAAAUCCUUAGCUGUUCUGAUAUCUUUCACAGAUGAAAUCCCAAAACUUGAGGCACUAAUGUAGGCUACAUAUGCCUCACAACCCUUACGCACCAUCUUCUCGGCUUUAAGUGCAGAAAUCAUAUUUGACAGAUAAUUUUGAUGCUCCCUAAUAACAAUUACCUCUUCACCCUUUUCAGCUUUCAGUAUCAUCCGCGUCACAGCACAAUCCAAAUUUGCCUGAUGCUUAACCAGCUAGUCCAUACCUAAUAUUAUAUCAAAUUCCCCAAAAGGAAGUUCCAUUAAGUCUGCUAGAAAGAUCAUUACUUGAACCUCAAAAGAUAUAUCCUUAAACAAUUUGUUCACUCUCAUUGACUGUCCUAAUGGACUCAACACGGUAACCUUACUUGAAGUGUUGUCAACCAUUAUACCCAAAGUCUUAGAUACAGUGCAUGCUAUAUAAAAGUGUGUAGAUCCAACAUCAAUCAAUGCAGUAUAGGGUAUAUUAUGAAUAAAUAACGUACUUGUAAUAACAUCUGGGGCAUCUCUGUCCUCUCGACGAUGUGCAGCGUAAACCAGAGUCGGCUGCCUCACCUCAACAUGAUCAGCACCUCUGCCCACUACUCCAUGACCCCGACACAUACCAUUUCCAUCUCUGGUCUGACCACGACCUCUUGGUGGCUGCUGAAAACCUCUCUGCGACUGGACAGUACCCCUACUAGUAGCUUGCAUCUGAUCGAGCUUCCGUGCACAAUCCCUGAUACAGUGCUCCAUAGAUCUGUACCUCAAACAUGCCCCUAUCCAAACCCAGCACUCACCCUGAUGGCGUUUCCCACAAACAGUACAAGGCUACAACCCAAAAGUAGCAAUAGUGGGCCUAACUCUGACUGGCCCAUCAACUCUGGCCUUCUUUUAGGCCUCAAAGCUGAACUUGAGGGCUCGCAAACCCCCUUGUUCCUUCCCCUGUCCGCCUCACAAUUCUGGUGCUCAGCGUUUCAUAUCCUCGGCGAUCUUUGCCUUUUCCACUAAUACAGAAAAAUCUCGCUCCCUCUGAGGAGCUAUCAAAACUCAUAGAUUAUCUCUGAGAUCGUCCCCAAAACACACAUAGCGCUCAUACUCAGUUGCUACCAUGCCUCGUGCAGAGCGGCUUAAUCGCAAAAAUUGCGCCUCAAAUUCAGCCAUGGACUUAAGCCCCUGGGUCAAAUUCAGAAACUCCAUUCUACGGGCAUCCGCAUAGCUAGCGUCCACAUAUUUCCCUUGGAAUGAAUUCUUGAAAAACUCCCAAGUUAAUCGAUUAGGCUAAGUACCCUCUUCCACAGUAAACCACUAUUAAUAGACUUCAUCUCUCAAUAACGACACUGCACUUUUUAGUUUAUGCUCUGGGGUGCAGUCGAGGUCAUCUAUGAUCAUCUCUGUGACCUCUAUCCAAUAUUCAGCCACAUUAGGGGCAACUCCAUUGAUACCCCUAAAGAUCUCAGCCCCAUUAGACCUGAGUCGCUCUGUUACCAACCCACGACCCACAGUACCAGUAUUGGGCCCAGCGAUCCUUUUUAGAAUUCGUAGAAUAGCUUGAGAAAGUGUGUUAUCCCCAAUUACCCGAUCAUGUGACCUAGUUUUAGUCAAAAGCCGGUGCCUCUCUUGCCUCAACAUUAGGCAUAUGGUCUGAUGCAGAAGACCCAAUCGAGCACCUCCACAGCCUCCGUCGCGGCCUCUUGUACUGCUUCUACGAGUACCUCUGGUGCUCAUUAUCGAUUUACUUAUUAUCUGUAUUAACAAUUUUAUGCAUCAGUUUUAUAGUGCCAGUGUUUAUUAACGGAUGUUUUAUGAAAAAUAGCAUCAAUAAUUCGAAGUUGUUUGUUUUCGCAGAUUGUAAUCUUACUACUGUUUAAGGUUCCCCUAAUAAAGGUUUCAAUACAAUCCAUUAUCUAUGGUAUUCUCAGUAUUUUAAUUAAAGCAAACAACAGUUUUAGAGAACUUACAGAAUCGACACCGGAGAGUCAGUAGACCACACAUCCGGAAACAACACCUCAAAAUAUUUUUCCAUGAUUUGAAACACUUUAAUUUGGAGCUUUUGUUUUUAGGAAAAACCCAAAUCCACAGCUGAGUUUUACAGCCUGGCUCUGAUACCACUAAAUGUAACACCCCAAACUCAGCCUAGACGUUGUGGCCUAAUCUAUGAUGUCAUAUUGGAGUGAUUUUUGAAAAGCGUAGUUUUACUGAAAAAGUCUAUUUAAGUUAAAACCUCAUUUGUGUUAUUUAAGAGAAGUUAACUUAUUUGUUCAUUUGUUAAUUUAUAGGUUUGCUUAUCAAAGCAUGACUCACACUAAAUCAUUGUUACGCUUUGAAAACAUUGUUCGUUGCGGAAGCUUUUAAAACAAGUUGUAUAGCUUGGUAGUUGAAAGUCAUUUACUUUUUGGAAAACCUGUGUCUUACUGCUAAUAGUUAUAAGUCAAUUUAAAUAAGUUCCCAAAUGAAAAUAAAACUUAAAACGGCCUUAUUACAUAAAAUUUACCCAAGUAAAACUACUUUUACCAAAAAUCCAAAACAAAACAUGAACAAUGGUAUGGCCAUCUCUGAGUCCCUCACAGCACCGACCUGCCUAAGGAUUACUUGCACAGAUAGGAAGAAGAGAUGAGUUAUAAAAACUCAGUGUGUAAACCAAAUUUAUCAAAUAGUCAAACAUACAGUGCUGAACAAUCUGGGCCUAAGCCAAUAUCGAUCGCAAUAUCAGUGUGGGCCUUAGCCCAAUGUAGUAACAGUAUCAGUGUGGGCCUUAGCCCACUUCAGUAUAGUAUCCAAGAUGCAUAGAAGGUCCUACCCAUCCAUCCUCUACACUCCACUCCGUUCAACCCUACACUCCAUGUGGGGAUAAAAUCGACCCACUCAUCUCUACACUCUAGAAAAUAGUACCGGUUGCGGCACUAAUAGUAUUUGCAGUAGAGCUACCAAUAAUAGGCUUGUAGCCAUUCAGUACACUUCCUCCAAUAUCAUAUGUCCCACCCCAUGCAAUGCAACAUAAUAUAAUGUACAUAUAUAAUUAAGAUGGCAUGCUCAACACUCAUAUAUCACAUAGGGGUAUUUUAGUCAUUUAUCUCAUAGGGGUACAAUAGUCAUAACAAAAAUUAGGGUCUAGAUGUACUCAAUGACCCAACAAUAGGUCCACAGUCAUCUCAUGCGACCUAUGCACCCUUAACAAUUUAAACAGCGAUAAUAGGCCCAAGCCCAUAAUAUGGCCUACGUGGGCCCACACACUCAUGUGGUCCAAUAAGCCCAAAUAAUGGCCUUGGCCAUGUAAACAACACAGUCGACUCAAUAAUCUCCACACAUCUGUGCAGUUUACCAUGUGGAGCCUACGAGCCCGUAGGGCCGGCACGGCCCAUUUCGGCCCACCAUGGCCAAAAAUCGACCUAAGCCCACGAAACCAAUCAUGGCGGCCUCUUUGAUCGAAUGCCUAUGUUUCGUGCAUUCGCCUCACUGCACGAGUGUGCGUACGCUCAUGUAGUGUUAACAGUCACACAUUUUCGGCUUUUGCUAAUCUAUGAUAAUAGUAGUGUGAUUACACACCUUUUUGCGAUAAGUGCUCCUAGGCCGAGCGUUCCCCAAGCAUACAUUCAAUCACGAUAUCUGUUAUUCAAUUUACACUAGGGUUAAUCACCCUUCUUAAUCCCAGCUAUCGUAGCACCCAAUACUUGCCUUAAUCAAAGGAUCAUUAGCCCUGUAAGAACCGCUGACGAAAGCUGGCUUACUCUAUUAAUCGAAUAACUGCUUUACAACAACCCAUUAACGAUGACCAAAACACAUGUCACGAGACUAAAAUAUAGCCUAUUGAAAACAUAACCCAAAGAUAAGAGGAAAUAGGCAUUCAGACAACCCCUUCCUAAACAAGUCACGCAUAUUUUGAACCCCAUAAUCGAAAAAAAACAUUACCUCAUUUGAGUAAGGAGUGAAGGGUUUGGCUGCUCGGUAAUCACUAGCAAUAUCUUCACUCUCCAAGAAACUCUUGAGCUCGCAAGGAACACAACACCAAGAAAAAGGAGGGUAAGAAUCGGUAAGAAGGAAAAAGUAUUUAGCUUUGAGCAGUGCAAUAAGUACUUACCGGCUUGUUUGAAGAACAAUACCAACCGCAACCAAAAGGGAUGGAAAGUUCGAUCCCACAGGCCAAAUGGACCGGAACAACUUCGAUGAACAUGAGAGUCGAAAGAGGGAGAUGAUAAAUUUGAUCAAGGGGAAAAAGAAAAGAAAGGUAAAGGAAGUGUGCGUAUUCGGUCAAGAGGGGUAGCAUUGAAGAGGAAAAGAGUAGAAACCACAAUCGAAAGUGACACUAGAAGAUGAUGAAGAAAUCGACCAGAGUUCAAAAGAGAGAGAGAGAGAGUAAACGGGGUUCGGCCUAAACAAAGAGUACAAUCAUGAGAGGGUCAGAAAGAAAGAACAGCGAUAGAUGCUGAUUAACCAAUAUACAAAAGGGAGUUCCAAACUGCACCACAAGUGCGAAAGAAAAGUACCCGAAGAACACCAUACAAAAAUCGGCCAGCCAACCAAAAAUGUAAAGGAGCCAAAAGAAAAGAAAUUUGGUUACAAACGAAAUGAAAAAAAGAACCCUACCCCACACUCUAGUCGAAUUCCCUUGUGUUUAGAGUCCUUGUACGACACCAACACACCCAUCACUUGCCUCCUCAAAUCUCUCCAACAACACACUAUCCAUAUCCAUUCAAAACACCUAACUUUUCUCCCCCCCAACACUCCUAGAAUUCGACGACAACUCCCUACUCCCCUCAAUACUCUCAACCACCCAACAGCAUAAGAAUCCUACAACACACAACCCCUGCAUGACACCGUAGCAAAAAAACACCCCUUGAGCGCAGAGAGACUCGAACCCGAGUCUCUUGCCAUAAGUAACACGCCCCUAUCCUCUAGAUCAACACGCUUUUUAUAACAUAACCUCCCCUCAAUUUAAAUAAAGACCCAACAUCUAACAGUAAGGGUUUAAUUCAGUAAAAACCCAAAAAUUUUUCUAAGGCUGACUUCUCACACCUCUUGGGACAUCCUUAACCAUCAAAGCAAGCAAGCCACAUGCAACAGAACACACAAUUAAAUCACUAAAAAAUUUUGGGCGUUACAAAAUUAUUGUUUUUGAUUUGUCUUUAGCUUACACAUUUAUGAAAUUCCUCAAUUCUUCUUUGUAUCCAUUUUUGAAAUAGUACGAGAUGUCGUAUUCAUAAUUUUGAGUAUGCUGCACAUGUAAAAAAUUGAUUUUCUUCAAUGUCAAAAAAUUCAAUUUUGAGCCAGAUUUAUUAACUCGAGCUAUUCUGGAAAGUCAAACAAGAGGUAAUUAAGAGGUUUAAUUAGAGAGUUUAGGAAUUAAGGCUUUUAGACUAGAUUGUAAGGUUACUAAAAUUGGAGGGGUUAAUGCAUGAGUAUUAGAAAGUUUUGUUUAGAACAUUAGAUCUCCUUUUUUUGUAAAUAUUCCAAGCCUGUAACACCCCAAACCCGUCCUGGACGUUAUAGCCAAAUCUGGUGAUGUCACAAUGAAGUGUUUUUCGCAAAAUACAAUAUUGUAAAACCCAUUCUCAACGUAUCCUCUUUGUGUGUUCUUAUAGAGGUUCAUUUAGUUUAAAACUCAAGUCGUUUAUCAAAAUGCUAAUCAUAUUAAAAUUGUUAUUACUUUUUAAAACAUUUUUUGUUGCGAAAGCUUUUAAAAUAUGUCACGUAAACGUAGUGUUUUGGGAAAAACAUUUAUCUUUUUGAAAACACGUGUCAUUUCCUACUGGUAGUAGUUAUAAACCCAAGAAAAUAAAGAAAAACCCAAAUUUUGUUAAUGUCCAUAGAGGCUUUAUUACAUAAACAAAUACCCAAAUUAAAUUACUUAUAAAUUAAAAAUCAAUAAGAAAGCAAGUGCAGUUGUGUGGCCACCAUUGAGUCCCUUGCAGCACUGAUCUUCCUAAGGCUAGGGAUUACCUGUACAGUUAAACAGAUGGGGGAGUUUACUAAAACUCAGUGCGUAAUCCCAUAUAAGCAACCAGUCAAAAAGCAAGCACAGUCUGGGCCUAAGCCCUUUUUAGUAACAGUGACAAUAUCAGUUUGGGCUUUAGCCCAUCUCAAUAUAGAAACAGUCAUGUGUUCAGCCCUGGCCUAUUGCAAUAACAGUAAACAAUGCAGUAAAAGUAACAAUGCAGUAACAGUAAACAGUGCAGUAACAGUAAACAGUGCAGUAGCAGUAAAUAGUAUGCAAGUCCUACCCAUCCAGCCUCUACACUCCAUCUCCGUCCAACCCUACACUCUAUGUGGGGAUAAAAUUAACCCACCCAUCCCUACACUCCAUGUAGCACUGGUUGCAGCACUAAGCAGUAUUUAUAGCAGAGUUGCCAGUAUAAUAGGCUUAGAACCAUCAGUGAUUUGUAGUAGAGCUGCCAAUACAGUACACUUCCUCUAAUCAUAUAAAAACCCAUCCCCAUGCAAUGCAUCAUACAACAUGUCAGAAUAUUAUACAUGUAUUCAAUACAGUUACAAUAGCAUGCUAAAAUAUAAACAUACAUCACAUAGGGGUAAAAUAAUCAUCUUACCAUAAAAGGGAAAAAUAGUCAUUUUACCACAUAAGGGCAAAACAAUUAUUUUACCUCAUAAGGGCAAAAGAGUCAUUUUACCUCAUAAGGGCAAAACAGUUAUUUUACCUCAUAAGGGCAAAACAGUCAUUUUAUCCCAUAAAGGCAAAAUAGUCAUUUUAUCGAUUAAGGGUCCAGGUACACUUAUCGACCUAAAAGAAGGUCCACAAUCGUCUCGGGUGACCUGUGCAACCUUAACAGUCAAACGGCGAAAAUGGACUAAGGCACAUAUUGUGGGCCCAUGUGGGCCCACACGCAUGUGUAGCCCUCAUAGCCCAGAAAUGGCCUUGGCCAUGUAGAUUACAUAGCCUAACACAAUAUUCUCCACACGUUCGUAUGGUUUACCCAUAUGGGGCCCACAUGUCCGUAGGGCCCACACGACCUAUUUUUGUAACACCUCCUAACCCUGAACCGUCACCGGAACAGGGUUACAAGGCAUUACCGGACAAAUCAGACAACUUAAGAAUAAUUCAGAAAUAAAAUAACAUUCAUAGUAUAAUUUAAUAACUAAGUCCCUAUAAUGAACUCUUGAAGUCUAAAACAUGUAUUAAAAGUGAAACGGGACACGUUCAAGUACUCUGGAAUUUUUUUUUUAUAAAUUUUGACAGUAUUUCUACUUAUUUUUACAUAAAACCCCCUGCAAAUUAAACCGUAUCCAUUUCGAACAUAACCAAUUCAACCAAAUUAUUUCACAUACUCAUUUUCUAUUCUAAAUACCUUCUAAUCAAACUCAAUCAAUGUAAUACCAAUUUAAAUUUAUCAACGUACUAAUUAAAUUGAAAUGGAUAAACUUUUUUUUUCAUUAUAAUUCUUAGACUUGUAGUACUAACAUUUUUAACCAUUUAUAUUCAAAACAUAAUAACCUUUAUACACAUCCUAUGUACAUGCCACAUUACCAAAAGAAAAUAUACAUCACCAAAAGUUUGCUGAAGUCGGGUCUGGCUUUGGAUGCUGGUUCAGUACUUGACUUCUACAACCUGCGCACGGAAACAACCGUACGUUGAGUAUGCAUAUACUCAGUGGUAUCACUAUAAUUCAAUUUAUAAUUAAAUACAUUUAAUCAUACACAUACUUUUACAUUACAAUUAUCAUCACUUAAUGAACAAUUCAAUCUUUUUAUGUUAUCAUUUGAAUAUAUAUAUACCAUUCUUAUUUCUUUAUUUCAAUUCUCACCUUUCACAUAUGCCAUAUCAUUCAAAUUUAGUUUUAUCAAUAAAUUUAUUUCAUUUAUCCCUAUUAACUUGACUCGGACUCGGCGAAUACACGGAUUCCAACCAACACGCUAGUACGGCACAUUGUUCCUUAACGGUACACAGUACCUAAACAGUAAUCAGUAACGGUAGCAGUAAUAGUAACAAUAUUCAACACACAAAGUGCUAAAUCUGUAACAGUAAUGGUAACAGUAUCGACACACAAAGUGUCAAAUCAGUAACAGUAGCAGUAACAGCAACAAUAGUCGGCACAUAAGUGCCUGAUCAGUAAGCCGGAAAAAACCCGUACUCUUCCAUAUCCUAUGGCAUGCCAACUAUAUCUGACUAGCUCGACUAGUUAAUAGGGUAUUUAAUUCAAUUUUGAAUACAAUUUGCAUCUAAGUUCGGUAUCAAAUAUAAUUUCUUAUUUCAAUCAGUUUCACAGUAUUGCAGUAAUUCAUUACUUCAGUAAUUUCACCGUUCAAUGCAGUAUACAUAACAAUAUUCAGUAACUUCACAAUUCAAUUCAGUACUCAAAACAAUAUUUAGUAUUCCAUAAUUCAGUUCAGUAUCAGUCUCAAUUUCAAUGCCUAAUCAUAAAUUUAUCAUUUUACUAAACACUUACCUUAAAUACUUACCAUACAUAAUUAUUAAAUUAAACACAUAAUAAUGAUAAAGUUUCAAUUAUAGUGAUACAAACCAGAAUUCUCUUCGAAUUUAAUCCUCGACAAUAUUUUCUUUUCCUUUUUGGGCCGAUGUUUCAGGCUCGAUAUUAGCAAUUAAACUUCAAGCUUUAAAACCUAAUUUUCCCUUUAUUUUUUCUUUCCUUUUUCUUUCCCACUUUCGAAUGGCUUUCUCUAUUUCUAUUCUGUUUCUUUUUUUUUGUUUUGUUUUGUUAUUUAUUUAUUUAUACUUUCGUGCUUUAUUUUAUAUUUAUAUUUAAGUUAAUUUAAUAAUUAUAAAAUAUCUAUUUAAUAACAAUAUAAUUAAUACAUUUGUAUACAUGUAUCUUUGUACAUUUGUACACUAUUAUUAGUAUCCAUUUGUCUUUCUUUUAUUUAUUUGACAAAUAAAAAUCUUAUAAUAUCAAUAUUUAAUUAAUAAAUAUCUUUAACUUAAAAUUUAAGUAAAUGCAUAAUUAUAAUUCAAAUGUAUAUAUUCAUAUUAUUACAAAUGUCAUUAUCUAAUUUGUUUUUCAUACCAAAAAUCUUAUAAUUUUAAUUAUUUAUCUAAUAAAUAUCUUUAACUUAUUAAUAAUAAAUAUCUACUUAAUAAAUAAUACUUUUAUUACAAUAGUAUUAUACAUAUUAUUACACAUGCAUCAUCUCAUGAUCCUAUAUUUGUCAACUUAUUAAUUUAUUCACUAAUAUAAUAUCAAUUAAAUAAUAAAAAUCAAUAGAUAUCUUUUACUUGUUAUUUAAGAAAAUAAACAAAUAUAUUACAAGUAUAUUUUCUUGUAUUUUACACAUAUAUUUAAUUGUAACCAUACAAUUGGCAUGUUUUGGUUUAUUUACUUAUUUAAGUUAUAAAUUAAUAAUACUAUAAAUUAACAUAACAUAACAUAAUAUAUAUAUUUAUAUAUAAAUAAUUAAAACAAGAAUCUUAGAUUUUAAUGCAUACAUGCCGCCUCAUUUCAUAUAAAUGGCUUAAUUUCCAUUUUAGACCUUUUUAUUUUUCUAUUACUCUAUAAUUCAAAUUUUACCCCUUAUUCAAUUUAGUCCUUUUUACUAAUUACUCUAAAUUGAGCUAAUUUCACUUAAUUAAAACAUAAUUAAACACACUACUAGACUUAUAAUUAUUCCUAAUAAUUAUUUAUGAACCCAUUUCACUAAGACGGAGGCCUGAUAACACACUUUUUUGGUGCUUACGAAUUUUGGGUCGUUACAAUUUCAACCCAACUUGGCCCAAAAUGGCCUAAGCCCAUGAAAUCGCUCAUGGUGGCCUCUACGAUCAAAGGCUCAUGUUUAUGCAUUCGGAUUAACACACGAGCAAGGGCACGCUCGUGUAGCAUCGACAGUCACUUAUUUUGGCUUUUGUCAAUUUACAAGUAGGGCAGUGUUUUUACACACCUCAAAUUUAUUUGUUGAGAAACUACCCCGAGCCUUUGCAACCUACACUUGAUCGAAUAACAUCAAUUAUUUAAUUAUCCAAAUACACAAUUGAGAACACACUCUAGUUACCCAAACACUAAAUGGCAAUAUUACCUUAAAAGUAGUUAAUGCGAAAGGUUUCGUCUUCUUAAUGCCUAACAAUGGCUUCCACACCAAAAAUAGAUCCUAGACACCAACCAACAUCAGUUAAGUGUUUGAAGCAGCAACAUACCAGAAAAUUAGGCCAAGGGAGAACAAAGUGGAACCCUUGUUCACUACACCAUGAGAGUAGUAAAAGAAACAAACUGAAAAGAAACAAAAAUGUAUAUUCGAAAUACAAACCUCACAAGAUUUUGGCAAAGGGAAGAUAGGAGAAUAAGAUUAGUCGACAGACAAUUACAAGAAACCAAAGUGGAGAACGUUUGCUCACUAUACCAAAAGAGCAGAAGAAACCAAAUAAAUAUUCGGUAUUGAGGGAGGAAGAAAUGUUAGCUGUAGAAAAGAGGUAAAACCAAAAGAAUAAUGUCCUAGCCAAAACACAGACCAUAGAGAUUUCAGCCAAAAAGGGGAAACAAAAAGAUGGACGGCAACUAGAGAGGCAGAGAGAGAAAAGAAAAUCAUCAAAAACAAAAUUGGGGAAAAAUAUGAGAGAAAUCGAAUUUGAUUAUGCUCACAAAAAAAAAUCAAAUAACUCUUCCAUUAUUCUCUCCUAAUUCGACGACUAAAUCCCCACACUUCAAAAUCCCUUAAUUCUCUUCUAAAAUCCUUCUAAUUGAACACUAUCCACAUCCCAACAUUCCCUCCUACAAUCCCUCUAUGACUAGUUCAAACUCCAACUCAAAUAACUCAUUUUUUCUAUGAUUCUGCGAUCUGGCUUGUUGUAACAAAAAAAUCUUGUUAUUGCAUUGAAUCAACAAUCAGAAGCGGAAGAAGUCCUAUUUCCGUUCCUAUGAUAUAGAAUCAAAAUAUUAUUUCUAUUCUUUUUCUUUCUUCCUAUUUCUUUUUAUUUCCAUUUAUUUUUUAUUUUACUAGAAUAACUAGAAUAAAUAAAUAAAAAACUAUGGAUUUUUGCACAAUCCAUUUUUAUGUUAUUUAUGUUAUGACUAAGUCCUUUUGUCGAAUCCUGUCUAUCAAAAAUCCUAUAACACAAGUCUUCUGACAAAAGGUGGCAAGGCCCUAAUUUUCAGGAUUUUUUAGGCUCCUAUCUUGUAAUCCUAUCUUGAUUACGCCCAAUUCCCCUGUUUGACAAAGGGUCCCUUUAUAUUUAUAUAC
rnacentral:lncRNA from 1 species